rnacentral:lncRNA from 1 species
UUUACCCUUAAUUUGAUUGAUGUGAUACUGUCUUAUUUGGGGGCACAUUUCGGUCAUCAAGCAGCAGGUCGACCAAAAUUGGCCAUCUAAUAAAACACCGAGUUUCAGUAGUAGGUUCCCUUCUUUGCACAUGUUUUUUCCCCUUUAUCUAACUCAUGUUGUGUUUACGCAGAGAGCAAGACUGACUUCAAGACCCAACUUUUCGUGUAUGCUCACAAGCUAGGCAAGGUGCCGCCUCUGUACAAACACAUUCAGGAAGGUCCAGCUCAUGCACCUCGUUUCAACGCUGAAGUAACCAUAGAUGGGCAGACAUUUGGGAGGCCAGAGUUAUUAUAUUACAAAUUGAACGAUGCUGAAGCUGCUGCUGCAGAAGUUGCUUUGGAUUUGUUACCCCCAAUCCCACCACAGGAAUCUACGGUUAGUCCAUUUCUUUUCUUUUCUUUUCUUUUCUUUUCUUUUCUUUUCAAUCUACGGUAAUAUUUUCAUUUCAAUCUACGUUCAUUUCAAUCUGAUGAAAUUUCUCUCGUUUUUCAGAUUCCAUCAUUGUCUUACAAGAAUUUCAUACAAGAAAUCGCUCAAAAAGAAGGCAUAUCAUUGUCUGUUUACAAUACAGUUCCAACUAACAAAGAAAAUUCCAUUGCAUAUAAAUCAAGCGUUCAAAUCAAAGGUGAAAUUUUUGAGGGAGAGCCCGGGACAACCAAGAAACAAGCGGAGAUGAAUGCUGCCAAGAUUGCAUAUCACCAUCUCGUGCUUCCUGAAUUCGAAGGAGAUGACAACGAGCGACCUGAUCAUUAGAAGCAGCUGUCUGAACUUUCAUAAAAGUGAGAUAAUUACUUUAAACUUAGAAGAGUCGGAAACUAGUAGAGUUGCUGGUAUUUUUAAUUGCCCUGUUGUUCAUUUUCCUUUAAAGUACUUAGGAGUACCUCUGCAUCUUGAGAAAUUAAGGAGGGAAGAUCUCCAACCCGUAGUAGAUAAAAUGUUACAGAGGAUUGCUGGGUGGAGAGGGAAAAGAACAAGUUAUUAACUAGGAACAAUCUUAGUAAGCCGAAAAGGGUGGAUGGUCCUUCUUUCUUGUUCUGUAAAGAACCAGAAACAAUCAACCACAUAUUCUUUGAAUGUGUUAUUGCUAAACGGACUUGGUCUAUUCUGUCAAAGAGUACUUAGAUUCAAUAGGAAAUUUUUGGCUUAGUUAUAAACAGAAUGGUGUUUUGAAUAUGUGUACUUCUACAACACUUUGGAGUAUUUGGAAACUUAGAAAUGAUUUGUGUUUUCAGAGAAUCACAUGGAGGAGUAUGGGUAAAAAAGCUUCCUUACUACUGAAGAAAGCAAUGAUAUUGGAGGCGACUUCUCAAGAAUUAUGGCUUCAUUGGAGAUAAACAAAGGCGCUGUUCCUCGGUGGGAAGUCAAGACCCCGGUGUUGAAGGUCUAUGUUUUGUUCGGGUUGUAAGCUGGUGGACGUCAGGUCCCUUCUCCUUUUACUUAGUAAGCUGGUGGCAACUGUGCUAAACCUAUUUUGGAGAUGGUGAGUACCAUCUAUUACGAUGUAAAUGUUACAUGGUCUAUUGACAUGGCUAAUAGACGGGGGCUCGUCCCUAAAAUUUAAAAAACUGAUUGUUGUUGUAAAUGAUCUUUAAAAUUCUGUUGUGCUUCUGUUGAUGCAAUGUGCAGAAAUGACCAACUCUUUUGGGCUUGAGCGACUACUUUUUUGAGAUGUCUUAAAAGUACGGAAACUAGUGGGAUAAGGGAAAAAGUACUCCGUCAACUAAUUAGAUCUCUCAAAAGUAAUCACUAAGGAACAAUGUCCUUAACUUGCUAAAUGUAAGACUGUUCAAUAACUCCAAGUGGGAAAAGUACUCCAUCGACUACUUAGAUAUCUCAAAAGUAAUCAUUGGGGAACAAUGUCCUUAACUUGCUAAAUAUAUGGCAACAUUUCAAUAAUUCCCUUUUGAUCCAAAAGCUACUGGUGUUCCAGGCCAACACCUGUUGAUCAAACAAGCAAACCAACAAAUAAACCAGAGGUCUAUGCCUGUGAUCAAACAUGAAACCAGCAAAUACAUGAUCAAACGAGCAAACUAGCCAAUAAGCAUCUCAUGUGAAAGCUCUACUUCAAGAUUUCCAGGCCAACGCCCGACUACGCAGACUACUAACACAAGAAAUUUCCCAACCAAGUCUUUCGUGCUAAUUGAAACAAGAGGCCAAGAACAACGUUUCCACUCCAAGCGGACAUGGCAGGCCAUAGCAAAAUCAAUCGACACCCUGUAUGCUACUAACGCACAGAAAGCAUAGCAAGUGGUGAAACCAUUUUACAUGAGUUUACGGGUACCCAUUACGAUUUUACGCGCUCCAAGACAACAUCUAUACAAGCAGUUUUUUCAGACUGUUUCAGGAUCCUAGCACAGACAUGCGAGGAGUAGCAGACUCACAACCAGCUACUAGGAUAAAGCCAUACGAGACACUACUCAGAGCAAAAGCUAGUACCACAAAAGAAGAGACCCUAGGAUCAAAGCCCAGACAGUGCUAUGUAGCAGCCUAUUACACACAGAGCAAGGCCAAACAGAUGACCCAGGAGAAAAGCAGAAGCUAGAGUAUCAGUCUUCAGGUUCACCAGGAGGUCAUUUCUACACUUCAUCAUCAGGCUCGACAUUGUUCAAGCAGCCAGAGGCCACUGCCCACUAGAGACCAAAAGACAAUUAUGUACAAGACAUCAAAGUUUAUGAUUCAUAGAUCACCAUCACAUGUUUUUGAUUUGCCUCUUCUUAGCUGGAGACUUUUAACUUGAUGCAUUCUCAAAAGCAACGUAGCUUUUCACUGCCUUGCCUUGGUUUUGAGCACCGUCAACCUCGAGGUCCGGCGAGAUGGAGCAGGAUUCGUCUUAGGAGCUUUCUUCCCAGCAGCUUUCUUCUCAGCAUGUGUCUUGGCACCACCAGUUCCCAGUUCUUCAUGAUCAGGUUUCUCGGCAUCAGCUUUCUUUGUCUUGGCAGCUAUGGCAACUUCAGCAUCUUUGUUGGCACCACCACUUCCCAGUUCCGAUCCUCCUUCGUGACCAGGUUUCUUGGUAGCAGUUUUCUUUGUCUUGGCAGCUAUGGCAACUUCAGCAUCUUCUUCAGCAACUCCGCUGAUUUCAGCUGUGUCUUGGCAGCUUCCUUUUGGAUUGCUAAAAACUCUGUCAGAAAAGCUGCAGGAAGUCACUUCUUCACCCAAGUUCUUAGCAGGUUUCUUGGCACCACUAGUUCCUAGUUCUUCCUGAUCAGGUUUCUCGGCAGCAUCUUUCUUUGUCUUGGCAGCUAUGGCAACUUCAGCAUCUUCUUCAGCAACUCCACUGAUUUCAGCUGUGCCUUGGCAGCUUCCUUUGGGAUUGCCAAAAACUCUAUCAGAAAAGCUGCAGGAAGUCUCUUCUCCACCCAAGGUUAGAGAUCCAACAAGUCCAGCUAACCAUGCAUGAAUUGCUCCAGAUUGAGCGGCAGAUGGUGGCAUUGUAGAAAGGAGAUGAUGAAGUGACACUGGAUGUGCAUCUGCGUCUCAGGAGGCACUCCAGAAGUUACCACGGCAGACAUUUAAUGUUGGGAGUUAGCUGGGGACUGGAUGUAAUGUCUUGAUGAUUCGGCAUAGCAGGUCUCCUCUAGAGCUUUCAACUGAAAUGGGAAAUGGAAGAGAAGAUGUAUGAUUUGGAGCCAAGUACGGCACUAAUGGAAACAAAAUAUUGAUAGCUCAUAUGCCAAACUUCAAAAUCAUGAUACAAGAUUUUAGCAUGGUUAUUAGCAAUGAUUAGCAGAAUAACAAUAAUUAGUUCUCUGUGAACUUCUAUAAGGGAAAUUCCAAAUUAUUAGUAUUGAUUAACAAUGCAGAAUAAAUAAAAAUAUUUCAUGGUCGAGGAAAUUCUAAAAUCCUAAACUUUAGAUGGGUCAGUUUACAGUUCAAUAUCCCAAAUGGUAGGAGGGCCUCACAAGUGAACCACAUAAAAUGAAAUAUAAGAAUGUAAGGCAUAUUGUUUUCAGAGCACAUAGGACUCAGUCAUAUAGCUGAAUGCAUACUCACACUACAGAUCUCUUUACACGGUUCAUCACUCAAAUUUUUUUAGAUUAGUUUGCGACAUCAAACAUGCAGAGAUACUUGCUUUAGAACAAACAGGAGUGAAGCUGAUACAAUAAGAGUGAGAAAACUAUAUGCAUGGUAGAUGGUACUGAAGAGCAUGCAGCUUGACACACAAAGGGAACCAGCUAAAGUAACAACUACAAGGGUUACUACUUAUAGAAAAUUCUGGGUAACCUUGUAUAAUUUCAGAUAAAUAUAUGAUCAAUACCACAAAUUUGUUGAAGUUGACCCUGCCAUGGCAGCGCCUAGCUUUUCGAAUACUAUCCAUCAAAGUCUCAAUAGUAUAUUGAUUGAUCCGAGGACACUUCUUGUCCUCAAUCUCCAGCAGCUUCAUGUUAUCAACAAUGUAUGCCUGCCAACCGAAUAUACAGUUAAUCAUGGCUCUAUACACAUAAACAGAGAGCACCAGAAUGCUUACCAGAGGUAUUAUUAUGCAGCCGGGUAUAGUCACUGUCUUCUUCUUCUCAUAUUUCUUAACAGUGCUCAACUGCCAAUCAUUGACAUACGACCUCAAAUUCUCAUAAACUAUUGUACACCAGUCAAAGUACUUGAUGCUAGCCAUGUCCUGUGUGUACAUUAUUGCAUUUACGUUUAUAUUCUGUGUAGUACUAGGCAUUAGAAAAUUUGAGAUGAGAACGAGGAAAAAACAUUUGACCCUCAAAUGUUUAUAGUCCUCUUUUGCCAUCAACGCCAAUAUAUUUUUAACUGACAACUUGAAAUCUCUGUCCAUGCCCAAUACAUCUCGCAAUCUAGAAAAGUCUUUCUGUUGUUGGUUAUUGUAUACAAGGCAGGCCUUAUCACCUUGGGGCAAUCUGAGGAGAUGAUAGAUCUCCUCUUGUGUGAUGUAAAAAAUUACAUCUUGCCGUGUUUUCACUGCGAUCCUGUUCUCUUCAAGAGAAACUGAUUUUAGAAACCAACAGGUUUCCUGGCGCUCGCAGAUUGAUCCCAGCUUCAGUUCUAGAAAAGUUGAAAACCCAAGGUCCUUGAUCUGUCAACAUCGGCAUCAUCAAGAUAUCCCGCUGCCUUCAUAACUUCUUCGGCCUUGAAGCCAAAGUCAAGAGUGAAACUGCCUAAGUCCUCAUCUUCACCUUCUCGUGCGCCCAACUGGAAACUGGAAUUCUGAGUCUUCAUCUGGUGAGGACAGUUAAAUGCAUAAUCAUGAGCCAGGAGAAGAGUUUUAGUUUGUAAAAUGCAAAUAUUAGGAGGUAACAAAUUGCUUUCAACAUUUCAUCACUUUUAGUUCAUCGAUCCAACAUUUGAUUGAACCAUCUUUUUUGACUAGGGGACAAUACCAUUUCCAUUAGCAUAACCAAUGGAAAUACAAGCAGUACUGUGACUGUUUCAGAGGAACCAGAAGUUUAGACCUGAAAGCAAGAGCAGAAACACGACACCCAACUGCCCUGUGAACACCUAACUGGGAGAACCAAGUUUUCCUUACACUAAACCACCACAACGACAAAAGAGAUGCUAAACUCGACAGUGAGUUAGCCAAUUUGAUUGAACCAUCUAAUUAACAUUUUUGUAGAUCAUCAAUCCAACCAUUGAAUAAUAGUGAAUCAUCUAAUUAACAUUUUUAAAGAUGUUAUCCCAACAUAGUUUUAAUGAGCACGGGUCUUUUACCUCACCACAUAUCAGACAUGUAUUCCAUUGUUCAAGGUUAUUUUGGUUAUUCCUUCUAGGUUAACAUUAAUUUCUCUAAUAUUUUGCUUAGAAUAUGUUGUAGACCGGCUAGGCACAGACAAUAAUUGAAUAUGUUUUCCCCUUUUGAACAUCCUGUCUAUAUUUUAUGACUACAAGUAUUAUUUACAAAAUGUAAUACAUUUAUUGCAUUUUUACUCUUAUACCUCGUUAUCCCGCGCAACUGCACGGGGGUCCCUGCUAGUAGUAAAUAACUUCUCAAGUUACAGGUUUCAACCAAUAUUUCAUUGAAACCAAUGAAUAAGGAUUUAUUGAUUUGCAAGUUUAUAAAGGCGCAACCUAGUCAAAGGUCAACUUCACAAUGAGGCAAAAGCACAAGCAAGAGGUGUUUGUAUUAUAAUUGACCAAUUCCACAAGAAGGUGAUAUUCCAAUUGCUUCUAACUCAGACAAGCAUAUCAUAAAGCCACUAACACCAACAACUUGGUCCUACACAAACUAGCCAAAUGCAUACAUGGGUCGAUGUUGCAUGCUACUUGAGUUUUGCCUUUAAACCUUACCCCAAAAAAAGGUUCCCAAAAGUAUCACAGUUAUAGCAUACUACACGCCAGUUGCAUUGCAUUGCACAAUCAGAAUAUGGAACAAAAUUUCCACAUUAGUCUCGACUAACAUCUCACAAACCCUAAACCCUAACAUCAAGUCUUAGUGGAGUACGUACCCUAACCGAACAAAUGAGUUUGGCAACAUUCAGCUAGGCGCUCUGGGUGUGUGCGUGUGUGUGUGGUGGUGGUGGUGGUGGUGGGGAGGGGGGAGGGGGGAGGGGAGGGGAGGGGGGAGGGCGAGGUGGUGUGUAGUACGUACUGGCUCUGUUCCGCUCGGCGUAGGGAGGUUGGCGGACCCCUAAGGUCGGCGUCGGUGGAGGUGGAGGAUCGUCCGGUAGAGGUCGCCGGUGGGGGAGGAGGAGCUGCGGCCGGAGGCGAUCGCCACGGGCUUAUGCGGGAUAGGUCUGAGGGAGAGGGAGAGGGAGAGUUGGACCUUCAAAUGCUGGUGGUGGGGGCGGAGGUGCUCGCCCAAGUUUCUUUCUUUGAAUGUCAAAUACGAACGGCGGGAGGUGGCCGAAGAGCGGGUGUGCGGUGAGCCGGUGAGGCCACAUUCCUGGCCCAUGUAGUGCAGCAAACAAAAAAGGAUCAGUAUGUAGUCCCAAAUGCUUACGUUUUCUCUAAUAUCAUGUUUAUAGUAAACAUUGUUUGGUUAUCUUGAUGCCACCUGUCCAGUGCAUUUUCAAAAGGGAAUUUAUUGAAAUGUUGCCCUAUAUUUAGCAAGUUAAGAACAUUUUCCCCCGAUGAUUACUUUUGAAAUAUCUAAGUAGUCGACGGAGUACUUUUCAGUUUUAUCCCACUAGUUUCCUUGCUUUUAAGAGAUCUUAUAGAUGUAGCUAGUCAAGCCCAAACCUAUCAGGCCAAAUUCAUCAUGUGUAGUUCGUCCAAGUCAUCUAAGAGUUACAUGUAGCGUAUAGUAAUUUUUUGACCCAUCUUGUUGCUACCCUGUCCAAUGCAUUUUUAAAAGGGAAUUAUUGAAAUGUUGCCCUAUAUUUAGCAAGUUAAGGGCAUUGUUCCCCAAUAAUUACUUUUGAGAUAUCUAAGUAGUUGAUGGAGUACUUUUCCCUCUGGGAAUUAUUGAAAUGUUCCCUUACAUUUAGCAAGUUAAGGACAUUGUUCCUCAAUGAUUACUUUUGAGAGAUAUAUUAGUCGAUGGAGUACUUUUCCCCUUAACCCACUAGUUUUCAAACUUUUAAGACAUCUCAAAGAAGUAGUCAGUCAAGCCCAAACCUAUCAAGCUAGAGUCACCUUGUGUAGUUUGUCCUAGUCAUCUAAGAGUUACAUGUAGAGUAUGAGUACUUUUCCCUGUUAUCCCACUAGUUUCCUUGCUUUUAAGAGAUCUCAUAGAUGUAGCCAGUCAAGCCCAAUCCUAUCAAGCUAGAUUCAUCAUGUGCAGUUUGUUUGAGUCAUCUAAGAGUUACAUGUAGAGUACUUUUAAGAGAUCUCGUAGAAGUAAGAUCGUGGUGCUCCGCUUGUGGUGGGCGCCGUCGCCCGUCACCAUCACAUCACCCUGGUGCCGAGAGGAGAUGGGGGGAAGAGUGGGGCAACCGGGUGUGUUUUUUAGCCUGGAAGUCGAGAACGAGAAUCGGAAGCUGCCUAUAUAUUUGUUGGGCUAGAUCCAGAGCACAAGCCAACAGUUGCUUCGUGCCGAAUCCGCUACAGUGAAAAGAAUCCACUCCAGCAAAUGAUAACCGCCCAAUGCAAGAUCCAAUGGCUACCGUUAGGUACAUGGCAGAGCAACUAUUUAUCAUAUCCAUGUAAGAGUUUAUCAUGAGGGUUCAUAGCAAACUUCAUUUAUUUAUUUAUUUAGCAAACUAAGCAAAGAUUUAUAUGAAAGCACAAAAUCUUUAUUUGGGUUUUUAUGAUUAUGCAUCUUUUUUUAUUUGAGUAAAGUAUAAACGCUAGUAGAAACACUUAGCUGGAUAAAUGGGUGUGCUCUCCCCCAAGCUGGAUUUUGACGUAAUUUCUUCUGAUGUAGCUAGCAGGUGGCGGAGGUGUAUUUGAAUGUCGGCAGCACCCUGACAGCGAUUACUAUGUCCUCCGCCGGCUAGUCUUCUUUGAUCCUUAAAUUCUAUGGAGCUCAAAUAGACAACAAAGCUUUGUGGAACUGGUUAAGUGUUAACAUAAAAUCUCUUAGCCUUUGUCAUAUUGAGAUUCCUCCUAAUAAAUUUUAUUUAUUUAGUAGGAUCAUGCACUUAUUAUUUUUAUAUUUUUAUUGUAAGAUGAAAACAUAUUUAUUUUAUGCCACCACAGUCAAUAUACCUAUGGGUUUUAAACCACAAGUCUACUCACAUGGGGCUUUAGAUUUUAUGAUGCAGUGCAACGAACAAAUAUUAUUGUUUUCUUUUCUAAUGCUAAUGUGGAAAAGUAAAUAUGCUAAUGCAUGUGAUGGAAUAAAAGGAAAAGGAAUGCCGAAAAGAUAAAUAUGGAUAAAUACUGAUUUUACCUUCCGGCAAGGAUCCAAUGUUUUAAGUCUUCGGGACAAGACUUCUCACCGUGUUCAUCCUUUAGGUGCAUCAUUUGAUUAGGUGUAGCUCUUGACAUCUGCACCUCUUGAUACGGUGUCACCCAUGUUCUUCGUUUGUCCAGCAGUUCGAGGUGCGACAUUGGCAACAUCCUACUCAGUGUGUUUGUGCUCGUAGAUCGAAGUCCUUCACUUGGAGGAAUCUGGGAGUUGUGAAACUCCUUCAGGUUUUGCUCAAAGUGUAUUUGCUCAUAAAGACAAGGCAGAGAUCAAGUGCAUGGGCCCUGUUGGUGAAAAACACCAACAGAACCAAAAGUUUAUUUGUUCUUCUCUAACCUUAAGCAUAGUGAGCAAAACAAAGUUGAUGGAUAAUAAGAUCAUGAGUGUAGCAUUUAAAACAUUUGUCAGAUCAGAUCGCUCAACCUAAUGGAAAGAUAAUCUAUCUAUAUUUAUGUUUUGUUUAUAUCUUCCAAAGAUUGAAUGCGCAAAAUUUUAGCUUAUAUGAUUAGGAAUGUGAGAUCACUAAGGUAGUACUAAGAACAAAGAUUAAAGGACUAAACAUGUUGAAUUAAUUGGGUUUGUUAAUUUGGAGUUACAAAUCAUACAUGUUUGUCUCUUUAUUUUAUGUGAACGCCAGAACCAAGGAGAAGCUUAUAAAAGCGAUAGUCAAGUACCUUAAGAUGUUACCUUACUUGAAGAUUGAUGGUACAGUCUCACCUUGUGGAAGCUUUCCUUUCUUAGCGGUUGUGCAUCGUGUUUGUGGCACUCUUUGUCUUGUUCCAUGGAUCAUCUCUCUAUGAUGAAUGAGCUAUGUCUUCCUUGUGCAAAUUGUUAACCUUCAUGUGUCUCUCUCUUUGUCUCCAAUGUGAGUUUAUCUCGGGACUUCCCAGGUCGAUAUUGAAAGUUUUCCUGUAGGGGUUAGUCCAACAAAAUAUCAUAUCUACUAUAGCAUACUAUCGAUUCAAAAAUCAACCUAGACACCAUGUCUAAUUUUAUUUAGAAGGGCAUUUUAACCUAAGCACCAUGCUUAAUUUAAAAUCCCUUGGAAGUAAGAUCAUCAUUCCUAAACUAAGCACCAUGCUUAAUUAAGAGAUAAAUGAAACUACUCCAAACCUAGACAUAUACUAAUGCAAAUAAAGGUAGUAUGAGAGCAUUUAUAGAGAUCUACUCAAGUGGAGAUGAAGUAGUGUGAUUAGUAUUUAAUAAAUCAAGCAUGUCUCAAAGGUAGGGACAACCAACAUAGCAACUUGGCAAAGGAUGUUUUUAUGUAAAGUACUCCCUCAAGCUUGAAUUUUGCAAAAUUCAAGGUUGGAUGAAUUUAAUUCAAUGUUGCAUAUGAUUGGUUGGGCAUACCUUGCACUUGUCAUUCCUCGGAUCUUCUUGCUCCAAUCCUAGAAAGGUUAGUGACACAAAUACCCGAAGGAAUAUUUCUACAAUUAUCUUUAUAUGCUCAAUACACAAUGCAAUGUUGCAAAUAAUUAGAAGUUCAUGUUACGAUCUGAUAAGUGCUUGUUUUAGGAUACUAAGCUUGUCCUUGGGAAACCAUCAAUUUAUGUCGGCGAAGUGGUUUCCCCUCCAACGCUGACCUACAUCAAGAUCAACUCAACGAGAUCUAUAAUAUUUAUUAUAGACAUAUACAUCGACAACCGCCCUUUUAAAGUUUUUAUAAAUAGAAAGGAAGAGGGGUUGGAGAUCUCAAAUGUGGUGAUGUUGGAGAGACCAAUAGAUUGGGAAGACGUUGCAUGUGAGCAUGGAGUAAACGAAGUGGCUAUGAAAUAAAUUCCAUACUCAUUAAUGUUAUCUUCGUCUCCAAUCUGAAUAUUCGGAGUUUCUCCUAGAUUGGUCUCGCCUAUGUCCUCUUCUGUAGUUGGAUGAAUCUCAUCUUCAAAGGGAGUCAAGAACUCACCAUUUGAAAUUGAGCCAAAGUCAGAAUCCAUUAAGGCUUCUUCCUUGUCCAUCCAUUCAAUGGUGAUAGCACAUGGAUUUUUAAUGCCCUCUAGCCAUUGAUGUUGCUCUUCUCGAUCCUCCUUGUGGUCUUGGUGACUCUUAUGCAUGGGAUGUCUAGAGAGAUUCAUAGGAUCAUCGGGAGAUUCAAGAGAAAGAGCAUACUAGAAAUUAUUAGGCUCAAGGAUGGGUUUAAAGAUAGGUUCGAACGAGUCAUCAAAAGUGGGCGUAGAUGGGGAAAAGAUGAGAUUGUCUUCUAAAUGGCUUUGCUCUGCUUCUAUUGCAUCACUUAAGACGCCAUCCUUGAGUCUUUCUAGAUGUCCAUCAAAGGGAUUAGAUUUGAGAUGCUUUCUAAGAGAUCCCUUCUUAGGAAGGUUCAGACUAUAUGCACUCAAAGGUCUCUUAUGAAGCAGGAAGUUUAAGCUCAUCCCAAAAUGAAUUUCCAAAGGUAGAAUUUCUUCUUCCCUUAGAUGAUUUUGGAGCACUACUAGUUUGGGUUGGAUAGCCGAAUCAUGGGAUUGAAAUGUUUGGAAAUCGGCUAUUGAAACUUCCUUUCCUCGUCUCGGAGAUGAUUCCUUCUCUAUCUCUAGGAUUUUUUUUAUGAAGACUAGUGCAAGAAGGAUGUCUACGAAUGAAGACAUACCUUACUUUACUAACAAAUAAAGAAAGAAAAACUCUACCAAAGGUUAUAUGAUUAAGACCAAUGUGAAAAUAUCGAGAAAAAACAUGGUCUUGUAGGGCAAGGUCUAAACCAGAAUUUAUAGAAAGAUUAAAAGAUUCCCUAGGUAUAGCUAAAUGUUCAUUAUCUUCUUGAUUAAAAGAUAGGACCUCGGCUAUAGAAAAGGGUUGGUUUUGACCUAUUGCAAUCAACUCUAGACACAUAUCAUAAUUAGGGGCAAAGGAAGGACUUGUUGACUCCCAUGGUCUAUGGCUGGUCUCCGAAGGUGCAAAAAAUUCAAUAAUAGGUGUGGAAUUUGAGUUAUCCAUAAAGAUGGAAAAAAUAAAAAGAUAAAAGAAUAAAAGUAUAAAAGUAUAAUACAAGAUAAUGGCAAGACUCAAAGUUAUCUCAACAAACCGUCUUUCUCCCCGGCAACGGCGCCAGAAAUGCUUGUUGAUAUUUGUUAACGCCAUCAGGAAAUGAUCUGCAAGCGCACGGAUAUCGGUGAGCACUUCACCCGGGAGGUUAUCCAGAGUAUCGUAUUUAUAUUUUUACCACUGGGAGAAAGCGUGCAUCUGACUAACCAAAUCUAUUGCUACUACCCUUUUGGCUACAAACAAUGUAAUUCGAUGUGAGCGAUGUAUAGAGAAGACUACAACCGCACUCUCGUUCUAACCUUGGUAAGGAUGAUCUACUGUUCUAUUGGAGAGGCUUACGAAAUCUAGACACCACAAAGGAUGUUCGACCCGCACCUAUAAACCCUAUCGAUCCUGCUAACGGGAUGUGGGCUACAAAGGUAACUCUGAAAUGUCACGUUCCUCGCUACUGCCACGGUCCGGCUAGACAGGGGAUAUCUAUGAGUACCCUAGCCCAAACACCACGUUUAUGCUAGCAAUGAUUACUCUAAACUCAACCGGAAGAGAUUAAAGUAAACUCAUAAACCAAAGAACAAUAAGAACAAAGAACUUACUAGAAUUUAGAAGUCAAAAUACUAAAGAAUCCUAGGAGCAAGCCUCGGGUUAGGAGACUUGAUCCCGCAGGUAUAACCUCAGAGUAGACACCGACAGGCCGGGCUUCCUCCAAUCUACACCUCCACUCUAUCUCUCUCAAUCUAGUAGAACUUAGAAGAACUAAUUCUACUCUCACAUUGGAUGCUAAGCCCUAUGAGGUGGGAACCCUAAGGAACCUCUCUCUCUGAAUCCUCUCUAGAAAAUAUGCUAAUGAAUAAUGAGGAUUGCCUCCUCCAGGGGUCAGGGGGCCUGCUUAUAUAGUCCCCUCAAGUGAAUCUGGGCCGUCGGAUCAAACCGACAUUAAUCGCACGGUUUUCCUUGAUCCUUUAGGUCGGUGGAGCAUAAUCCGUGAGACGGGACCUGAUUGGUCUUUGUAGCUGGGCGGGCGCCCAAAGGGGGAGGGCGGGCGCCCUGCCCCCGGGCCCGUUCGGCCUCCUGUUCGUUCCCGUGGCUUCUGGAGUCUUCUAGAUGAUAGAAAAUUGCACGGCACGUUAAUAUAUAUCUCUAUGUCAACCCGACAUGUGGGCCUUUCCUCCAUAUCUCCUGAUAACCAUUGGUUCGGUCACGUCCAUGAUUCCUUCUAUCCUUGGUGAAAAAAAGGAAUCUCGUGGGAAAUAGGGAAAAGUACUUCAUACCUAAAUAUAACCCUACAUAUAACUCUAUGAUGACUUGAACAAACUAUGCAUUAUGGAUGUGGCUUGAUAGGAUUUACCCCUGUCUGACUACUUAGAUCUAUUAAAAGUAAAGGAAACUAGUGGGAUAAGACAUAAAAGUACUCCGUACCUAUAUGAUAAGAGGAAAAGGUACUCUGUACUCUAUAUGUAACUCUUAUAAUGACUCAGACAAACUACACACGAUGAAUUUGCCUUGCUAGGUUUAGCUUGACAGCCUACUUGGGGUUCGAGUGUUUAGGGUUUCUUCUAUGGGUUUUUUGGAUUGAUACCACUGCAAUUUUACAAGUUUGGAGAAAUACCAUCACUAUUCGUCUAUUUGGAAACAUGUCAUUAUAAUUUUUGCAUAGCUUAUUCUCUUGACAUGCAAGGGGUCCACCUCAUCCCAUUAUUAUUUGUACAAAUCAUCCACUAACAUACAUUUAGUUGUACACAUCAACAUGACAUGCUAACAUUAAUUUAUACAGCUUAAAAAAAUAAUAUGAAUGGUUAAAUUAUAUUCAAAAUCAAUAGUCUCCCUGGCAACGCGUGGGGACUUCUCCUAGAUCUUAAUUUUGAGAAGUAUAUAUGGCAGAUCAUAAAAAUCCAACCAUUGAGACCGAGCAUGCUCUUUGUCUUCUUCUAGAUCUAGACGAGGUGGACACCAGCACCCACGGCGCCAGCAACUCUGCCAUGGAGCCCGUCACCAUGUCGCUGGCCUAUGAGCUCCAACGAGCAGGUGGGAGGGUGCAUACCCCCUAGUCAGCCUUCCACAGUACCACUUGGUCCUGUUUGCUUUGGUCAUGUCCAUGAUUCCUUCUAUCCUUGGUGAAAAACCAAGCAAUUUACUUCGUACAGUGUAACAUCAUACAACGAGUACGUAAACAGAGAUGUGAGCAGAGGCAUGAAGAGGGAGGGGAGUGGCCGAUUGAAGGGGUGGGCGCACCUGGUGGGGCGUUCGUCGCCAAAGGAGAUCCCGUCCGCCUUGCAGGCGUCGUUACUAGGGAGCGCACGGUGCCUAGCAGCCGGGUGGUCGCUGAGCCCGCCGCCCUGACUAUCUAGGGGGAGAGGGAGAGUAGCUGCAGCCUGUAGAUGUGAGCAUAGGCAUGAAGAGGAGGGGAGUAGCGCAGUCGGCCUGGGAGGAAAGGAUCUAGUUGUUCUGUGUAUCGGCUUGUGGUGCCGUUGGGUGCAGCGAGCGGACGGUGGGAGGCUAAUGGACACUAGCAAUUCGAUGGAUAGAAUAUAGCAGUGAUCUGGCCAUUUGUUUUUGCAAAUUAAUGUGUGUAUAUGAUCUGUUGUUCAAUACUUCAAUACAUCAUAUGAUGAUGUAAUGAAUAAUUCAAGGAAUGGUUGAAAUUCCAUUCUUCUUCAGAUUCGGUUCUAGCUAGCACCUGUUACCUGAAAUUUAUGAGCUGAAUUUAUUUACAAUAAUAAUGACCCAAAAAAUUGAUCAAUAAUGUGCAGUGGAAACACUAACCUUGCUGCAUGUUUUUUUGGAGAUAAAUGGCAACCGUGGACACUGCAGGAAGAACUCCAGAUCCCAAGGGGGGUCAGAGGCAUCAGAUUUUUCUAUGUCAUCUCAUCAGGUAUGCUCCAUUCGACAAUAAUAAUGCACCAGAAAAUUGAUCAAUAAUAUGCAGUAGGAACACUAACCUUAAAUCCCAAAGGGGGGUCAGAAGCAUCACAUGUUUCUAUGUCAUUUCAUGAUAUAGCAAUAACUAUGCCUAGCGCUCUGAUAUAUUUGCUGGUCACUGUUUCACCAUGUUUUUUUAUAGGUAACUAGAGACAAAGGACUCCCCCAGAUGAUGAGUCGGCCAUUAGAAGAUAAGAAUGUGGAAUAUGAUGAUAGUAUAUGUAUUGAUUUUGGUUUUAAACUUGAUUAGGUGCAAGAGGCAGUACAAUACCUUGAUAAAGGGGAUUGUGAUGAGGUGAAGAAGCUCAGUUUUGGAACAUUUCUGGAUCUAAGUAUUGGAGAUUUGAAACAAAGACAUCGACAACCUAUUGAUUCUCUUGUCAGAAAAGUAACUGUCGAACAAGAUAGAAUUGCAAUACGCAUGCGGGAUGGUGUGAUUUUGUACUUGAUACCCGAACUCAUAUCUCUGUUAAUGAAUCUACCGCGUGGUGACAUGGGGCCUCUGGACUGCAAUCCUCAAAAGAAUAUUGUAGAGCUUGCUAAUUGUCGCACUGAACUUGGUGUGGAAUCCUUGAAAGUUGAGAAUGUAGUUGAGGUAUUGAAGAAAACAAAGGACAGAAAAUUGAAGGUCAAAUGUUUUAUGCUUCUGGUAAUUUCCAGAAUUCUGAUGCCCACCACCACUACCAAGACUAUCAAUACAAAUGUAGUCAUGUAUACAAAGAGAUGGACGCCAUUAAAGACUUUGACUGGUGCACUAUAGUUUAUGAAGAUUUAAGGACCUCAGUCAGUAGUUACAAUGACAAAUUGAAGAAACUUGCGCUGUGUCUACCGAAGAGCAAGCCAUCAAGGGUUAUCGGUGGAUGUGUAAUAAUGCUACUGGUAAGCAUCAACUCUACUUUUCUCAUUCAAAACCAAGCUGUGAAGCUCUAUCUGAACUGAUUCUGGUUGGCAGGCCUAUGUUGUUGACAACAUGGAGAUGGAGCUGCCUGAGAAGGAUGAUGAGGGUAGAAAAAAAUGCACUAGGAUAAAUCAAUAUAAUAUGGAGUUUUUGAUGGAGAUGAUUUGUAAAGCUAUGCGCAAAUGCAGAGAUUGCCCUCCUACAUUUGAGAUGUUUAAGGCAAGUACAAGGCAUCUGGCUCAAUUUUACUUGUGUGAAGAGGUAGGUUUUAGUUCUUAUCUGUUCAAUUUAACUUUUCAGUUGAAAGUAAUUGAGGAUACCUGCUAUUCUAAAACUUCAAGGUAUAUUGUGUCCUCAAGGGACAUGGAAUCCCUAAAUUCUGUAGUGACGUCAUCUGUGUCUGGAGGUGUGCCUCCGUUUGCAGAGAUCGGGUUCCCAUUAGCCCAUCAACUCCAAGGGGUACUUGCUGAAGUUGAGCGAGUUGGUCCAAGUGCUCGGCUUAAGUCACAAGCAUCAAAAUGCUUGGCUGUACUGAAGGAUAUCACUGAAGGGUUUAGUCAAGAUCAGCUGGAUCAACUGUACGAGAACCAUGUUGUGGACAUCAACGACCACAUUAUCCCUGAAGUUACGUUUGUUAAUGCCUUCAGGCCCAAGGGUGAGAUGGUCUCGGUCAUUAUUCAUGCAUAAUGUUCUAUAUGGAAUAUGCAACAUCAUGACCGAGUUUAUCUAAAACAAGAAUGUGUUGAUGAUUUGAUUGCUGGAAUUUCUUCUAUAAAUCUAAACAGACAGCUAGAUGUAUACCGUCAGCCAAAUACAUUAAAGCAUGUAACUCAAGUUGGUUGGUUUUUUCCUGUUUUGUUAUUUUAAUAGGUUCAUUGGAUGGCAUGAUCAUGUUUUUGUUCUUGCAGAUAUUUGUCCCUCUAUUCCAUGACAAACACUUCUCUCUUAUUGUGGUGAAUCUUCAAAAUGGUUCUUUUGAUUGUCUGGACUCAAUGACUAGGCCUACAAGGAACCCUACAGAGGAAAAAGUGAUUGCAAUAUGCGUCAAUACUUGGCUGAAAGGUUUGACAUAUCUGAUGUUGAUACAUGGCCUCAUGCAGUCUUGCCAGUCAGGCAGCAAAAGAACACUUAUGAUUGUGGCUUUUGUCUGAUGCUUCAUAUGAUACAUUAUAGGACGAAAGACAUGAAUAGGAUUGAUGAGGUUAGUGCUGGGAAGUCUUGUCUUUUACUUAGUUUUUUGCUGGUGUUUUACUUAGUUUUACCUUAAAUAUACAGGACAUGGUCUUCAGAUACCACAGAAGACUUGCGGUUGAGUUAUAAUAUAAUGAACAAAACAAAGUGAAGCCCCCCAGAGACCAAGCCUUGAGUUCUCACGUGUCCAAUUCUUGCCACGGCAGUCCAGAUGUUGUCGUCAUCAGGUCUCAACCGCAACCUUCUGAGACAAAUAAGUCACCUGAGAAACAUAGUUCCAAACAGAAGGGCAACAAGGCACGUGGUCCCAAACGGAAGGUCAACAAGAAACAUGAUGCCUUGACAGAGACAAAUGACGAAGCAGCUGCUUCCAACCUGAAGAUGAAAUCUGCUGGCCCGAACAGAAAUGAUCAGAAGCCACCUUCUCCGCCACCUGCUUCCGAACCUGCUAAACCUGCUGGCAACAAAUGUCGCAGGACCAAUAGGGUAAAGCUAAGACAUAACUAUGGUGCCCUUGACAAGGGUAUCUCAAAAUAAAGUGAGAGCCAAAUAAGAGGCAAAAAGGGUAAAAAGGUGAAAGGCAGAUCCAGAGCUUCAGAGUUUGGACUCUCGUUUUUGCUUCACAUUAGAUAUUUGGACAGCAUCACAAAAUCUAGGAUACAAGGAAGAAUGUACUUAUAGCAGUCUUUGUAUGUUGGUUGCAUUGGGUUUCCUGUCAGUAGUUUUGGUGAUGUAUUAGAAAAUACUCUACAUGUAACUGGCUUGACGUCGAAGCGAAGGAAGGGUCAUGUUUCAAAAAUUCACCGUAGCAGGUUCUCACUCCCUCUGCGCAUGCCGCCGCAGGCACUCACCCUCCUCCUCCCUCCCUUCCACCCCGCAUAGUCGUCGCCUUCUAUAUAAUUUUGUAAUAAAAUGACAACUCAAAAGUCUAAAAUUAUACUCCCUCUCUAAAUAAUUGUUGUCAUUGAUGUGCGUACUACAAGUUUUAUUUGAUUUCUGUAAUAUCGGAUAUAUUGGGUAAUACCUGAAAUUGGGGUUAGUGUUUUUCAAGACAAAUUUCAGGUACCAAUUUUCAUUAUUUGGAUUUUUAUAAUAUGUUUAUUUGUACUUUUUGAAUAUAAAUAUAUAUGGAUAUGAAGUGGAUGUCUCGGAGAGUAGAAAGAUAUAUAGAUAUAGGGAGUAAGUGCAUAUAUCACUACUCCGCGUGUUGUUGCGGGUCAUCAAGUGGAAAUAUAUAUGGGCAUAGUUAUCGAAAUAUAUCCACAUAUAUCCACGUGGGGUCUUAUUUAUUAUUAGAGAUACUAUAACUUAUUUAUUUUUACUAUUUCUAUUUCUACUGAAUAAAAGAAGAUGUAACUAUAGUACUCCGUAUUCGAAAGAAAAACUAAAUAAGACAUGUUGAUUGAUGUGAGCGAGAGUUUAACAAAAGCAAACUGAUUCGACCGGACAUGCAGUCACGUGUUCCUCAUCUUGGCAGUGGAGUACAAUACCACUAGUACUCCGUAAUACACACCAGGUGCAUGGGUGCAUGCGCUCCCACCUAUCAAGUCCAGCUUUCUCAGGGCCCCGAAAUGCUGCGUAGCACAGUAGCUGGUGCCUUUGCGCGCGCUCUCUCUCUCGGGCAGUAAGUGUAGCAGCAGGUGCAUGUCACUCUCUUUGUAGCAGCAGUGUACUGUAGCAGGGAACUGUACUAGUACUACUUACGAGUACUUACUCCAGGUCACUAUCAGGCGCCCCUGCUCUCUCUAUCUCGGGUGUGCAGCAGCAACAGCUUGCUCAUUCGCGCUCUCUCUCUCGCGUGGAGCACUGCAGCAGCUGCUGCUGCUUCUGCUCUCUCUUUUGGGGCGCGUGCAGGAGCAGCGGUCCACGCCCAACUUUUUCCAAUUUAUAGUUCGUGUUUGCAUUAGUUUGUAAAAAAAAAUUGGGAAAAAUACUACUGUAGCACUUUUUGUUUCUAUUUGACAAAUAAUGUCCAAUCAUAGACUAAUUAGACUUAAAAGAUUCAUCUAUCGAAUUACUCCUAAACUGUGUAAUUAGUUUUAUUUUUUAUAUAUAUUUAAUGCCUCAUGCAUACGUCUAAAGAUUCGAUGUGACAGAGAAUCUUGCUUUUUAAAGACCUCUAUUUUGUUAGGCAUCAGUCAAUUCUCAUCAUCUCAAAAUUUGAUUUAAAAAGAAAAACACGUGUAAGGGCUACUGAUCACAAAAUGACUAUUGAUCAGUGUUGCUACGCAUUGAACAGUUGAACCAGGAAACAUCACCAUGUCCAUCAACAAUUAUGAUGUUACAGUAUACAAAGUAACUUUUUGUAGAAACUAUUUAUUGACAAAAAAUACGUUUAUGAUGUUUGAUAUAAUAUACAAAUAUAUUAUGUACAAUAUUUGUAGAAAAUAUGUAUUGAUAAAAAGCACAUUUUUGGAAUUUGAUAUGAUUUAAAAAAUUUUUUUGUAUGGACUCAAUGUGUACAUAUAGCUAUGUAGUGCAGGCAGAUGUAAAAAAUUAUUCAUCAUCUCACAAUUAUGUAUAGACUAAUUGUGUACAUAUAUCACAUAUACAUAUAUAUUUGUAUAAGGGUAUACGUAUACAUACGUGUACAUGCAUGUAUGUAUGUAUGUAUGUAUGUAUGUAUGUAUGUAUGUAUGUAUGUAUGUAUGUAUGUAUGUAUGUAUGUAUGUAUGUAUGUAUGUAUGUAUGUAUGUAUGUAUGUAUGUAUGUAUGUAUGUAUGUAUGUAUGUAUGUAUGUAUGUAUGUAUGUAUGUAUGUAUGUAUGUAUGUAUGUAUGUAUGUAUGUAUGUAUGUAUGUAUGUAUGUAUGUAUGUAUGUAUGUAUGUAUGUAUGUAUGUAUGUAUGUAUGUAUGUAUGUAUGUAUGUAUGUAUGUAUGUAUGUAUGUAUGUAUGUAUGUAUGUAUGUAUGUAUGUAUGUAUGUAUGUAUGUAUGUAUGUAUGUAUGUAUGUAUGUAUGUAUGUAUGUAUGUAUGUAUGUAUGUAUGUAUGUAUGUAUGUAUGUAUGUAUGUAUGUAUGUAUGUAUGUAUGUAUGUAUGUAUGUAUGUAUGUAUGUAUGUAUGUAUGUAUGUAUGUAUGUAUGUAUGUAUGUAUGUAUGUAUGUAUGUAUGUAUGUAUGUAUGUAUGUAUGUAUGUAUGUAUGUAUGUAUGUAUGUAUGUAUGUAUGUAUGUAUGUAUGUAUGUAUGUAUGUAUGUAUGUAUGUAUGUAUGUAUGUAUGUAUGUAUGUAUGUAUGUAUGUAUGUAUGUAUGUAUGUAUGUAUGUAUGUAGUGAUAGUUUGAUGUCCUAGUACAAUAAUACUUUCUUAUAUUUCUGAUAUCGUUAAAAUUUUAUGUAUACUUCUGGUGUAGAGAAUGUCUAAAAUAUUUAAUUUAACAAUGCGAUGGUCAAAUACUGUAUGCGGGUGUUCAUAAGGAGCACAGGAAGAUUAUAAUAUUUUAAAUUUUGGUGCGAUAAAGAAAAAAUAACAGUUUAUACCUUCGCUAAGAAGUGCAUAACUUCCCUACUCUUCUCACAGUCAUAUGCAAAAGCUUAUGAAUUGGAGUUUAGCUACAAACAUAUUAUACAUAUACAUAUACAUAUACAUAUACAUAUACAUAUACAUAUACAUAUACAUAUACAUAUACAUAUACAUAUACAUAUACAUAUACAUAUACAUAUACAUAUACAUAUACAUAUACAUAUACAUAUACAUAUACAUAUACAUAUACAUAUGCAUAUACAUACACAUAUACAUACACAUUGUGAACACCCUAAAAUUUGAUUGUUUUUGACUAGUUGAAUUUGAUUUUAUAGUUAAUUUUUGUGAGCAUUUCAAUAUGGGAAAAUAAUAAAUUUUAGGAGAAUAAAAUUAAAUAUAAGUUUAGACUAAUAUUUUGUUGCAUACAUGUUGGUGCACUUCUUUUAUGUGAUGAGUAAAAUUCAUUUUUGGAAAGAGUUUGAAAAAUUUGCUUGGAAAAUAAACAGGAAAAAAAAGCUUUUCUCUUUCCCCCUUCCCCUUUCCGGCUUUUGGCCCAUAUCAUUCCCCCCCCCCCCCGCGCUCUCCUUCCUGGGCCGCGGCCCAGCCAGCCGGCCUUUCUCCCCCUUUCCCCUCUCUCUCACCGACAAGCGGGGCCCGCUUGUCAGUUCCUUCCCCCUCCUCCCCAACUGCUCUCUCUCUCUCUCCGGCAGAGCCGCAGACAGCAACCCGAUGCUGCCCCCGCUCCCACGUUCUCCACUCGCUAGCCCCCGCGCCUUGGCGAUUUGAGUUGCGUGCGAGCCCGAGCCCCAUCCUCGCUCCAUUCCCCUCUCUCCCUGCCCCUACCUUUGCCUUGGAGCGCGCAGCAGUCGUAGCGAAGGACGCCGCCGACGACAUCCGCGCUCAAACUCGAAGAACCGAGCCGUCCCCGCCGAAAUUACUCGCGUUGGUGAGCUCCUCUUCUUCCCCGCGCUCUUCCCGAUCAAUUUUCUCGUGAUUUGGUGCUCUCUAGCGCUCUAGCCGCAUGCUCCGACGAGCUCCAUGGCCUCCGGCCAUGGAGCGUGCUGCGCGAGCCCCUGCCCGGCCUCGCUAGGGACGGGAGCGAACUCCCCUCGCUCUCCUUUUUCUCCCGGAGUUUUUGGUUUGGGAAAUGGUGCUCCGUAGCGCGUUCUUCGCCAACUCUGGCGAGUUCUCGUCGCCGUUAAUGGUGGCGCCGCCGUCUCCUUCUCCUUCUCCGGCCAGGCGCGCCGCUCCCCCCCUCUCUCAUCUCUUUCUCAAAUCUCGGCCAUCGGUUUCUAAUCCGAGGGCCCUGGAUGCUCUAUACCCCUUCGGGGGCACAUUUUGUUAAAGAGCCCCUUAUCUUUUCGCGAUUUAACCCGCGGUCCUUAGCGCAUUUCGUAGAUUACGCUUUGCCGUUUAGAAAGCGUAUUUCCCGUCGGUUAGGUCAAAUUACGCUUUUAGGAAAUUACAGAAUUGCCACUAAGUUUGUUUUGGCCAUAAAAUAUUCAUUUUAGCUCCGAUUUGACCCGUUCAAAUUACGUUAGAUUCGUAAUUAAAUUCUCUACAUGGUAGUACCACUGUUUCUGUAGUUUGCAACUUUUUAAUUUCAGGGUUAGGUUUAAUUAAUUAAAUGGCUAUAGGAAAUCGUCGUAAAUCCGUAAUUUGGUCGUUUUAGCUCCGAUUUUCGUGAUCUUUGUAUCUAUGUGAUCGUAGCAAAACGUAGGUUCUGUUUUAAAAAAUUUUAUUUCAUUUUUGAUCUGUUGGUGUACUGUUCUAAUUAUAAUCUUGUUUGCUUCGUGUAUGUCUGUCUCCGAUUGUUUGUGUGUUGAUAAUCGAUGAUCGAGAUUAGAUAGUGGGCAUUACUUCGGUGAUCAAGAUCAGAGCCUUGGAAGCAAGUAAGAUCAGCAGGACUAGCAGGAGCAAUUGGAUCAAGGCAAGUAUAGCAUUUAGAUUUUAAUUCUAUGACUAUGAUCUUGUGAUUAGAUUAAUAUAAAGCAACAAAUGAUAAUAAUGAUUUUUUAGCAACUUGAGGAUUUAUUCGUAAGUGAUAACCGGGAUGAAAGUGCAACCAUGAGGGCUAUAAUGGCUCUAACUUUAGUCACGUAUGAGUAAUUUUUCUAGCUUGUUAGAGGUUACCCGUGUGGCGCAAAUGGGGGAUAGCAGACCGUGGAUUCCCUGCGAGUGGUAGAAUCACACGGACUGACUACCGAAACCAAGCGGCCCUAACUUGUUAGAUGAACCUUUGAAAGACUUCAUAGUGAUCCCUGCCAACCUACCUUGGUAGUAGGUUACGAGGCUGAUCACCUCGGGCGAAAGGGUAAAUCAUGACUCAUGGGUAAAGAUGUACAACCUCUGCAGAGUGUUAAAAACUGGUAUACUAGCCGUGCUCACGGUCACGAGCGGCCUUGGGAACUCUUACAUUAAGGGUGAUGAAUCUUGUGUUAAGAAACUCAUUGAUUAUUGUUUAAUGCUCUAUAUUAUUUAUGUCACAUUGAUCAUGAGAUUGUGGGAUCUAUACAAUCUAGUUGUUAUACUUGCGGAGUUCGUCUUGAACUCACUCUUGCUAUCUCCCCCACACCUCAGGAGAAGUUUUGGGCUUGUGAUCAACCAGUCAGUUGGAUCCUGUAGAGUGAAGUUAACACCCAAAGUUUGGAGUCAUCUUCCGUGGUUUGCUGGCUAAGGUUGUUUUUGAUUUAUUUAGUACGUUACAUAUUUUAUGCGUUGUCCUUUGAUAUUACCCCUUAUUUGUAGCUAUAUGUGAGGUUUGUCUUCUAAAACUCACAUAUGGUGCAUAUCUGAUUUUGUCCUUAAAAUCGGGUGUUACAAAGUGGUAACACAUACACAUAUACAUAUACAUACACUCACACGAGCACACACGCGUGCUCCUGAUUUGAGGCGGCACUGCGCUUGCAUUGCACGCAGACGGAGGGCGUGUGCGUGCCACAAGGAGGUAGCACAACCGUCACCACCAAAUCAAACCUCCACCAUAGCAUCCCAAACUCUCAUCCUAUAGUCUGCUCCCUUUCUACCCCACACACACUCACACGCGCACAUGCGCGCUCCUGAUUUGAGGCGCACUGCGCUUGCAUUGCAGGCAGACGGAGGGUGUGUGCGUGCCACAAGUAUAGCACAACCGUCACCACCAAAUCAAACCCUCCACCAUAGCAUUCUCUCUCGUACAUGCCUCCCUAAACCUCCUUUGCCCUUCCCCUUCUGCUCCUCCUCUAGGACCUCACUAUGUGUCUCGCACCACCUCAGAAGGACCUUUUGUGCUCGAUCGGCCGGCUGCAUGGGAUGAUUCGUGUAGUAUACUCGACUAUCCUUGUAUUCCCAAAUGGAAUGUAUGGCAAUAGUGCUGAUACACUGGUAGCCUAAUGCUGAACAGGAAGAUCAGAGGGCCUACCACACCAUGAGGAUGAACGAGAAACAAUUAAGAAACCAAAUAGGAAAAGCAUCAAUUUUGAAACAACAAACAAAAACAACAUUUUUCUCCACCUUCGUAAGCAGUCCUACGCUCAAAGCCUCAUCCGAGAUGUGUUAUUUUUUUUUAUUUUUCCAUCAUCAUCGACUGUGGCUUCGCUCAUGAACCGGUGAUCAUUGCAGUAGCAAGAUUGCUCCAAAAAAUGUAUGUCUUGUUAUUGACUGCCCUGGCGUGAACAAGUACAACUCUAGGCCAUAGAGAAGCUUCUUCACCACCUUUUUCUCUUUUUUCAUGAACAUCGGCUCAACAGUCCAGUUACCAUUCUGGUUCUGGACAAGAAACAAGAAAAUCUUUAGAUUGUAAAACAAUCCAGGAAAAUAUUCAAAGCUUGGAAAGUAGUAGGAAUAGAACAAGUACAACUCUAGGCCAUAGUUGGGACAAGUUAAUCUUUUUCCCACAAUUGGCUUCCGAAGAAAUCGAAUCAUGGGAGGAAGGAGUUUUGUGUUUGGCGUACCCAGUUCUAGGGAGAAGAAGAACCAAAAAGAAGCACCACAGACCGCGACAGCGAGUGUGUCUCGGCAUCCCUGCUACUCAGGCUUCGGCGAUGAUGAGGAUGAUAUUGCGCCAUCCUUGCAUAGGCAGGCUCUAGUGAUGAGGAGGAAGAGGGGGGCGCCAAUUGCAGGAUGUGAUGACAACGUGUUUAAGUGACUGGUUAAUUAUCUUCUACAUAUUUGCUAAGUAGCAUAUAAUGUUGAUAGAUUGGAUGUUUGCAUGGGAAGUGUCUUCGCAAUGCCAAGAGUGCAUCACUGUCACCAAUGACAGUGGCCAACUGCGUAAGGCACAAAUAGAGUACAUGGCAGAAGAGGCCGAGAGGUGCAAAACGAAGGUCCGGGUUGGAGGUAGAAGGAAGUGGAGUGCCAAUACAGAGUGUAUAAUGAAUACUCUCAGCACAUCUACCAUUAGUAAUGGAUGGGGGAAUACUCUUUUUCACAAUUAGCUAUUUACCAUUUUCAUGUUGCCCCUUUUGAUUUUCUUCUGGUUUAUUGAAUUCCAUGUAAUUUUUCAAGCAGCCUGUGUUGAUGAUUCUAUUGGCAGAUGGAGAUAAAAAACAAAAGAAUGGGUAUGUCUCCUAUGUCAGUAGAGGGGUUUCACAUGGAAACAUAUAUAGACUGUAAGUCUUGCAAAAUCAGAAAGAUAGUUUUUUUAGUGCAUUGAUAUGCUGACUGACAGGACCCAACUGUUUGCAGCAUCCAAGGAUAUUGCAAUUGUAUCAUAUCCUGAUGAAUGUACUGCAUCAUCACAACAACCUUGGGGUCAACCUCUAGAGCUUGUUUCUGAGAAAUCAGUAGGACCAUCUUCAUUGCUUCAUCCUGGUGUGAUGGCGGAUAUAUCAGCUUUCAUGACACUGGCAGUGCCUAACAGCAGAUAUUUUUCUCCAUUGUUCUCUACAACUUUCUUGCUGUUGAUGCCUAACAAUCAUGGAAGUGUGGAUUCUAUGGUAGCUUUUUAAAGACCUCCAUUUUGUUAGGCAUCAGUCAUUCCUCAUCAUCUCAAAAUUUGAUUUAAAAAUAAAAACACAUGUAAGGGCUACUGAUCACAAAAUGACUAUUGAUCAGUGUUGUUACACAUUGAACAGUUGAACCAGGAAGCAUCACCAUGUCCAUCAAUAAUUAUGAUGUUACAGUACACAAAGUAACUUUUUGUAGAAACUAUUUAUUGACAAAAAACAUGUUUAUGAUGUUUGAUAUAAUAUAUAAAUAUAUUAUGUACAAUAUUUGUAGAAAAUAUUUAUUGAUAAAAACACAUUUUGGAAUUUGAUAAGAUUUACAAAAAAUUUUGUAUGGACUCAAUGUGUACAUGCAUCUAUGUAGUGCAGGCAGAUGUAAAAAAUUAUUCAUCAUCUCACAAUUAUGUAUAGACUCAUUGUGUACAUAUAUCACAUACACAUAUAUAUUUGUAUAAGGGUAUACGUAUACAUACGUGUACAUGAGGUGUCCUUCACAAGAAAUGAAAGUGCAAAUAUGUGCUCGACAAUUUUUGCAAAAUACUGCCAAUUUAAAAUUAGAUGCAAGCCCAUAAGUGGGCGAGCGCCCAACGUCCCUCUCAUGAAAUCAGCACGAACAGAAUAUUGAUAAUGAGCUGCGUGAAGAUAAAGAUGACUGCAAAGACGACAAAAGUUCAUUUGGUCGGCCAUCUAUCCUAGGUUUCAAUGUACAAUUGAUGGACAUAACUGGAACCUCCUAUCUCAUAUUGUAAAGCAGCAUCCAUUUAACAUUAUUCGUUUGCUCUUUACUGAGAUAUAUUUGAUUAUUUAGGUCGCAAUGGCACUAAGGACCUGCUGUUUUAUGCGCCACAUAUCAUGGGGAUGAUUAUGUGUGCUUUUGAAUAUGAUGGGUCUAGAAAAUCCAGGCACAACUCAUACAAGCCCAGGCCUUCCUACAGCUACAAGCACUGAUGCCUAUCCUAUUUUCUUUUUUUCUCAACUUCAAUUGAGGUUGUACAAUGCAGUUUUGUACUUAUAUACGACCUUUAACAUUGUAAAAUAGCUAUAUUAAAAAAAUAGUAAAACUCAUACAGGCUCUGGAUUACUAUACCUGCGACUUGCAUAUCCAUAUUGCAUUUGUUGUGUUUUUGCUAGGAGAAAUAUGCAAACAAUAUGUUAUUUUAUUUUAUGGACUUAAUUCUUUGUCCAAAUAUGUCCCUGUUGCACUUGCAAAUCACAUUUAUUCUAUCAGCCGUCAUUGAAGAAAAAUGACAAGUCUAAAAUAGAUGUUGAAGUUGAGUAAAAUGCAUGUGUUGUAAAAAUCAAUCCUAGGACUCCAGUGAUAGAUUCUCUCUAGCACCGUCAGCUGCAUAGCAGCUAAUGCAACACCGAGCAACACCGAGCAGUAUACUCCCAUUCAAGAGGAUCAGGUAAAUCUAGUGACCAUAUUGUAUAACUCUCAACUUGCUGCUAAAUAUUCCCUACACAUAAAGAGCACUAAUUUCUUUUCAUUGGUUACUUGUCCUGGCCUUACAUAGACCCUGAGUCUUCCUUGACCACAAAAGCCCCAGAAACCUUUUUGUUCACCCUGAGAUUUUCUAACAUCUUUUUAUCACUUGAUUCUCUCUGCUCCGAUGAAUCACAACUCAAGUCACUUUCUAAAUUUUCAUUCUUAGUAGAUGGUCCAUCUGCUUUUUUCUUAUUAUAGAUCCGAUUGAAAUUAGGUGCAUCAUAACUAGUAAAGCGGUCUGGUUUAGUUUUCAUACACAUUGAGCGUCUUAUGUCCACAUACGCAUACAAGGCUUCAAUAUCUUGUGUAUUAUCAGAUUCACAUUUCAGAGUGAUACAACCAUCUUUUAUGAGAUUUUCCUCUUUAACCUUAGUGACUGGAACUGUUUUGAUAAUUGGGUGUAAAGUCUGAUCACGUGGUUUGAAUAAGAUUAUGUCUGGACUACAUGGAUACAUGUACACAAUGUGUCGAUACACACAAUUGUUUGUAAAUUGUAUCAAACUUCAUAAAUGUGUUUUUUUUGUCGAAAAUAUGUAUACAAUGUGUCGGUGCAAUUGUGUAGUAAUUGCUUGCAUAUUGAUUAUGUAUGUAUACAAUAUACGUUUGUACAUUGUAUCGAACAUCAUAAAUAUGUUUUUUAUGAAUAAAUAGAUUUUACAAAUAUUGUACAUUUUACACAAUGUAUUUAAAUAUGUUAUUUGUCAAUAAAUAGUUUAUACAAACAUUUACUUUGUAUAGUGUAACAUCACAUUUGUGAGUCAUAGCCAACCUCCACACACGUUGAUCAUGAUGGACGUACGUGUUUAAGGAACAUAGACAUAAAAGCAUUAUAUGUGCCAUGCAUCCCUAUGUAUAUUGCAGGAUUUAUGUACGUGAGAUUAGGAUUGGUGGGAGACUGUUGCAUUUGGAAGGAUAAUUGUUAGUAGUCCUACGCUCAAAGCCUCAUCCGAGAUAUGUUGUUUAUUUUUUUAUUUUGCCAUCAUCCUUGGUGGUGGCUUCGCUCAUGAACCGGUGAUCAUUGCAGUAGCAAGAUUGCUCUAAAAAAUGUAUGUCUUGUUAUUGACUGCCCAGGCGUGAACAAGUACAACUCUAGGCCAUAGAGCAACUUCUUCACCACCCUUUUCUCCUUUUUCAUGAACACUGGCUCAAUAGUCCAUUUACCAUUCUGGUUCUGCACAAGAAACAAGAAAAUCUUUAGAUUGUAAAAUAAUCAAGGAAAAUAUUCAAAGCUUGAAAAGUAGCAGGAAUAGAACAAGUACAACUCUAGGCCAUAGUUGGGACAAGUUAAUCUUUUUCCCAUAAUUGGCUUCCGAAGAAAUCGAAUCAUGGGAGGAAGGAGUUUUGUGUUUGGCGUACCUAGUUCUAGGGAGAAGAAGAACACAAAUCAUCUCAGUCAAAAACUUCAUACUAUAUUGCAAUAUUCUGGGGCAUUUUUUCUACCCUCAUCAUCCUUCUCAGGCACCUCCAUCUCCAUGUUGUCAACAGCAUAGGCCUUCCAACCAGAAUCAGUUCAGACAGAGCUUCACAGCUUGGUUUUGAAUGGGAAAAGUAGAGUUGAUGCUUACCAGUAGCAUUAUUACACAUCCACCGAUAACCCUUGAUGGCUUCUUUUUUGGUGGAAAAAGCACAAGUUUCUUUAAUUUGUCUUUGUAACUACUGACAGAGGUCCUAAAAUCUUCAUAAACUAUAGUGCACCAGUCAAAGUCUUUAAUGGUGUCCAUCUCUUUAGUAUACAUGACAGCAUUUGUAUUGAUAUCUGGGGCAGUGGUGGGCAUUAGAAUUUGGGAAAUUACUAGAAGAAUAAAACAUUUGACCUUCAAUUUUCUGUCCUUUGUUUUCUUCAAUACCUCAACUACAUUCUCAACUUUCAAGGAUCCCACACCAAGUUCAAUGCGGCAAUUAGCAUGCUCCGCAGUACUCUUUUGAGGAUUGCACUUCAGCGGCCCCUUGUCGCCACGUGGUAGAUGCAUUAGAAGAGAUAUGAUUUCAGGUGUCAUGUAGAAAAUCACAUCAUCUCGUAGGCGUAUUGCAAUUCUACCUUCUUCAAGAAAUGUAUGUCUGACAAGCCAAUCAAUAGGUUGUUGUUCUCCGAUGAAAUUUCCAAUCCUUAGGUCCAGAAAGGUUCCAAAACCAAGCUUCUUGAUCUCAUCACGAUCUCCUUCAUUAAGGUAUUCAAGUACACGUUUCUCCCCGUCAGGUUUACAACCAAAAUCAAUAGAUAUACUGUCAUCGUAUUCCACAUCCUUCUUGACAUCAUCCUUGUCUUCUAAUGGCCUCGAGUGUUGACUCAUCAUCCGGGGGAGUCCUUUGUCUUUCCUAUAUAAAAAAUCACGCUAAAACAGUGACCAGCAAAUAUAUCAGAGCCCUAGACAUAGUUAAUGCUAGCAUACCUCAUGAAAUGACAUAGAAACAUGCGAUGCCUCUGACCCCCCUUGGGAUUUGGAGUUCUUCCUGCGGUGUCGACGGUUGCCAUUUGUCUCCAAAAAACAUGCAACAAGGUUAGUGUUCCUAUUGCAUAUUAUUGAUCAAUUUUCUGGUGCAUUAUUAUUGUAAAUUCAGCUCAUAAAUUUCAGGUAAAAGGUGCUAGCUAGAACGAAAUCUGAAGACGAACGGCCAGAUCACUGCUAUAUUCUAACCAUUGAUUUGCUGGUGUCCAUUAGCCUCCCACUGUCUGCUCGCUGCACCCAGCAGCACCACCAGCUAGAACCUUCACUCCCAAGUCAAUACACAGAAACCACAAGAUCCUUUCCUCCCAGGCCGACUGCGCUCCUCCCCUCCCUCUUCAUGCCUCUCCUCACAUCUGCAGGCUGCAGCUACUCUCCCUCUCCCCCUAGAUCGUCAGGGCGGCGGGCCCAGCGACCACCAGGCUCGACGGCCACGGAACUGCCUACACCGAGCUACCAGGUGUCGUGCGCUGCCUGGUAACGACGCCUGCAAGGCAGACGGGAUCUCCUUCAGCGACGAACGCCCCACCAGGUGUGCCCACCCCUUCAAUCGGCCUUACCAGGUGUGCCCACCCCUUCAAUCGGUUUCCUUUGUGCUGCAUGAAACCCCAAGCGCUCAAACCCUAACCUUGCUAUUUGACUAUUUUUAUUCAGACUAUCUAGCUAUUUGUAUUCGGUUCUCUACCUACUACCAGCUUCCAUUUUUGGCAAUCCACUAUCAAGCCUUCAGGUGAGUACUAGGUAAUUUACUUCUUUCAGUUCAGCCUUGGGCCUUCAUUUACCAAUUAAUUAGUUUCAAGAUAUGACAAAAAAUAGAAAUGCACCUCACCCGCCAAAGCAAUGGGCACAAAGUGUAAUGAAAAUUAGUAAGGAACCAAUAAGAUGCAUGAGUUAAGGACAUUGUAGACCAAGCAAUUUCCACCCUCAUGAGGUGCUUUAUCCGGUUGUGGUAUGAAUCAUCAUGCAUAUAUGAUCCUAUGGAAUUGAUGACUGGCUAUACAAACAAAAUUAUAAACACUCUACUCAAAGUAAUAUUAUUUUGGCUAAGUACAUUAUAUGUUUAAACCUGUAUUAUCAUGAUACACCUCAAAUUACCAUGAUAUUUGUUUUCACGUUGCAACUCACGGGACACGGCCACAAUCUAGCAUGAAAAAAAGUAAAAAAUACAGUGAACUAAGACGUGUAUUAGCGAAACAGGCUAAUUCUCAGUGUUUCUUAUCUCCCACCGGCGGCCCAACAAGGCUAAGCAGCCUAUUAUAUCCCGCAGGCCCAAAAAUCCAAAAUGGCAAAAUAUCACCUCCUUCCCCUGGCCCAACAAGGCUAAGCAGCCCUCGGCCGCUGCUCGGCAUCACUCCUCCCCGUCCCCGUUCUCCCAUCCCAAGUGUGAACUGGCAUGUGAUUUGGGGGAUUUCGAGCUGCCGGCGGCGUGCAGCGGCGGUAACCGGCAGGCAGCAGGCUAGAGCGGCAGCACGCGCGCGUAGCAAGGUGCAUCGGCGAGCGACGGCGCGGCGCCGGCAGGGGCACGCCUGGCGCCGGCGCAGGGCAUAGGCAGAGGCAGGGCAGGGUCCCGGCGAGCAGCAAGCCACCAACCUCGUUUGAAUACCCCCUGCUCGGUGCUCGGCGGGACGGCGGCUCCCACUCCACCACUCGUCCUGCACUCCUGCUCCAUCCCGCAGCAGCGCGGCGGUGGCCCGCUUGCCGUCGACCGUCGCCCUCCGGCAGCCGGCAGCAGCAGGCAAGCAAGAGGCAAGGCCGCCCCUGCUCGUCCUCUUCAAGGCCGCCCCUGCUCGUCCUCUUCAGCCUCUCGCUCCCAUCCUACUCUGUUUCAAAUGCUUCUUUUUUUCUUCCAUCUCAUUGUCAUUAAAAAUACAUUUUUUGGGAGACAACCACAACAAUUUGAAAUAUGAUCAUGUGUCAUGCAUUAUAUCUUUUUCUUCUUAAAUUGCAAAGCAUGAAUUCAGAAUUAAGAGUUUAUAAGUACUACUGGUUUUCAAUUUCUGUAGAAAUCAUAUGCAUAGUGCCAAAUUGAAUUACCAUAAUAUAAUAGCUCCUUCUGGUACUUGUCACUUCAUCAAAUGAGACUAAUCUUCAAAAUGUAUUAUCACUGAUUCAGCUACUAUGCUAAUAAAAAGAAAAGAUUGCUUCCCUGUCAUACCUCCAUGACUCCAUACAUCUUCCACCAUUUUAUUAAUUAUAUUUGCAUACUUUUCUUAGUUAUGUACAGCAAUAAUCAUGCUAGAGCAAACAGAUUUGAUUUUUCCUCGGCGUUAAAUUACCAUUUGUAUGCUUGUUUGGAGUCACAUAGAGGGAUCAUUGUGAAGUAAUGUGCCUCCAUCGACAUGCAUUCAGAUACACAUCUUUUGCUUAUUGUUCUCUUUGCAUAUGCCAUGACAUUGUGUUACAUUUUCAAUAUGAUUUAUUACUAAGUGAUAAGCACAUCAAUAUAUGCAAUCCUUUCUACUACGGAAAAAACGGAGAUACAUGGGCAGCCUGCAACUGAUGUUCUCACUCACGACAGGCGUGUGGCAACGCUGUGCGUUGUUUCUAGUACAAACUCGAACCCAACGGGGCGCUUUCCGUAGACGGGAUCACGAGGAAGCGGCAGCGGAGGGCGAGGUGACACGGCAAGGAGAUCUCUGGUCAGACUACUGUUUUCCUCUAGAUUGUGAACCCUAGCGUGCGCCUCCACCCACGCCCACAUCAGGAUGGGGGUGAAAAGUUAUAUUAGGAAGAAGACCAAGAUGCUGGACCAGGCACGCGAGUGGAUGCCUUCUGUUCUUGAAGACACAAAUCUCCAAUGGCUUGUUGAUCUAGGGUUCCUACCCCGCAAGGAGUUAGAUAAGUGGAAAUCUGUAUACCGACAACCUUUCCCUUCUGAAAACACUGGUGAGACUACUCUUCAUGCCUCUUUCUUUGAGCGUGGUCUUGGUCUCCCCACUUCAAAAUUUUUCUGUGAGCUUCUCCACUUCUACAACAUCGAACUUGUCCACUUGAAUCCCAAUGGAAUCACCCAAAUCUCUCUCUUCGUUCAUAUGUGCGAAGCCUUCCUCGGAAUCGAUCCCAACCUCCAGCUCUUCAGAUAUUUCUUCCGUCUGAAGGCUUUUCCAGAUUUCGGUAACCCCAAUGUCUGUGGAGGAGCCGGCUUUUAGCUUCGCCAAAAUACUAGAAAAUACUACUUUAAUGUUGUAUUUUCUAGUAUUUUACAGUGUAGUACUAGAAGAAAAUCAAAAGGCAUCAUACCCUUUUGAUUUUCUUCUAGUUUAUUGAAUCCCAUGUAUUUUUUCAAACAGCCUGUGUUGAUGAUUCUAUUGGCAGAUGGAGAUAAAAAACAAAAGAAUGGGUAUGUCUCCUGUGUCAGCAGAGGGGUUUCACCUAGAAACAUGUAUAAACUGUAAGUCUUGCAAAAUCAGAAAGGUAAUUCUUUUAGUGCAUUGAUAUGCUGACUGACAGGACCCAACUGUUUGCAGCAUCCAAGGAUAUUGCAAUUGUAUCAUAUCCUGAUGAAUGUACUGCAUCAUCACAACAACCUUGGGGUCAACCUCUAGAGCUUGUUUCUGAGAAAUCAGCAGGACCAUCUUCUUUGCUUCAUCCUGAUGUGAUGACGGACAUAUCAGCUUUCAAGCACUGGCAGUGCCUAACAGCAGAGAUUUUUCUCCAUUGUUCCCUACAACUUUCUUGUUGUUGAUGCCUAACAAUCAUGGAAGUGUGGAUUCUGUGGUAGCUUUUUAAAGACCUCCAUUUUGUAAGGCAUCAGUCAAUUCUCAUCAUCUCAAAAUUUGAUUUAAAAAGAAAAACACGUGUAAGGGCUACUGAUCACAAAAUGACUAUUGAUCAGUGUUGUUACGCAUUGAACAGUUGAACUCUUCUCACAGUCAUAUGCAAAAGCUUAUGAAUUGGAGUUUAGCUACAAACAUAUACAUAUACAUAUACAUGAAUUAUUAGUGAUUCACACUGCAAAUCUCGAAAAGCCCACCGAGCAUCGACCGUCCACACCACGUCAGGUCCUGUCCCGAAUGUGAUUGGCGAUAAUAAGCUAAGAACAACUAGUUUUUGCACACUAUAUUGCUUCACCCCUUAAUAUGGGUGCCUUCUCAUAAUCUAAACAACUAGUAAGAAUAUAAGCACGCUGCCUAACUAUAAUGUAUUAUUGCGCAACAACAUAUAUGAGCUUAUUUCGUGGCACCAAACAAGAAAGCACUACAGAAACAAGUAUGAAGUGGUUGAGCCUUAUCACAAAUUCACAAUUCACAUCAACAUCAUAAACAGGUUCCCAAUAUAUAAGUAUGUAAAGGAAACAAAGAAGCAGGUGUUUACCUCUUGUUCAUUGAAUACACAUGGCAAUGAUAGUGGCCUUGGGAAGUUUGUAUAGAGGAGAACAGACAAGUUCUCUUUUUUGAACGACACAUGCAGCUCCUCAAACACCAAUGUCUUGAGCAUCACUAAGAAGUAGCGAGCUUGUGCAUAAGCCUAUAGGAGCAAGUAUCCAUCGGCUGCACCACCAAUCAUGUAGUGAAGACUAUCAUCGGGCAAGGGGACUGUUCUGCUGUGGUGCCAAUCUGCUGCUGCACCAAAACCAUUGCCUUCCAUAGUCCUAGAGUAGAGGUCUAUGGUGUGACUACCAACAACUAAUGCACCAAGAUUGCCUUUGCUUGCCUCCACAAUGAUGUAGUGGUUGGGCUCGGUGACAAUUGGGAUUUGGAUUUCCAUGGUGGAGAACUUCAUCUCGCGCAUGUCGAGCUUGACCACACUGUAACUCUAAAACUAGCACAACGUCCAGGUCCAGUAGAAGAAUCCAUGUGCGUAGUGGCGGUGGGACAAGGCAAGCGGAUAAUGGCGUCAUCAGGUGCUGAGCGUCGGGAUUCUACGCCAUAACCAGGUGGAGGAGGAGAACACGGCGGCUCUAUUGAGUUGCGUCGACAGAAACGAGAGGAUAGCAGAGGACCACCCUUUGUUAACAUGUCAUAAGUAGAAAUCGUUGGAUGGACAGGAACUGAACAUGAAGUUGCUUUUGUCAAAUGACUGUUGAUUGGGGCAAAAAGCUUAAAGAGAUGACAGUAAUCAUUGAGGUAUCUUUGUCAAAAUGCAAUUUAGUUCUUGGAAGUCGGGUGCCACACAACAGUAGUAAUCAUUGAGGAACAAUGUCCUUAACUUGCUAAAUGUAGGGCAUAGUCUCAAAUCCUUUUCGAAGAUAAACAGGAGAAAUUGCAAUAAAAUAAGACAAAAUGAUCUGAAAUAAGCCUAGUUUGCAGGAAUGCAUCUAAAAUUCAAAACCUGUCUAGUUGACGUUUAUCUAUGUUCAACAGAGGUGUAGACAUUGCAAUGGAAAAAAGGGGAUGACUUGUCAUAAAUAAUUGAGGGAAAAAUGUAGGUAUACCAAAUUUGGUGAAGAAAUCAACUUCAAAUCCAAUACUCAUACCCUUGCUAAGAAGUGCAAAGACUUGUGAAUUUGAGGUUUAGCUAGAAAUAUAUACGUAUACAUAUACAUAUACAUAUACAUAUACAUAUACAUAUACAUAUACAUAUACAUAUACAUAUACAUAUACAUAUACAUAUACAUAUACAUAUACAUAUACAUAUACAUAUACAUAUACAUAUACAUAUACAUAUACAUAUACAUAUACAUAUACAUAUACAUAUACAUAUACAUAUACAUAUACAUAUACAUAUACAUAUACAUAUACAUAUAGUCCUUAGUGAAGAUUACUAGUGUCAGCCUGCUGAUUACAGUAUACUAGCGUGUAUUCUUGAGCAUGCGCUACUUUUAGAGAAGUUUGCACUUAUUGUAUGCUAGGCUAAUAUGGUGUCGUGGCCGGAUAAUCAGAGCAGGCUGAAUCAUCUUGGACAUUGUGGCAUGCUUUGGCAUGAGGGCAACUGGGGACGUGAAGGAGGUGGUAUUGACUUAAAUUAGUACUUUAUAAAGCUUCCAAGAAAGUUGGUGGCAAGCCAGAAAGAACGAAUUGAGUGAUGCAUCAGUACCAUCUUGGUGUAAAAAGUGUAGGUAGCGUACCCAUGGGUCGUGUAGCAGCAGGCGCAGCCGGAGUCGUACUACGCGUCCUACCCCGCUACUGCGUACCCAACCACCUCUUGGGGCGCAUAAUACUUCAUCGGAGUAGUAUUAUACAUCCCUGUGUAUAAUACUACUCCGGAGAGCUCCAAUCAAGCCCUGACCAGUGGCGGAUUCAGGGACGCUGAGCGUAGUGGCUGUGGACUCUCUGGACUCUCCAGAGUUGUGGAGUAGAGCAGCAAGCACCCAGCAGCACUGCAACUACCCGGCGAGCAGGGCAGCGAAGCAACGUUGCAAGUUAUUUCAUCAAUUAUAGUAAUUUGUACUUGUUCUGGCCGGCUUGCACAUGGGUAGCCAUUGGUAGGUUGCACCUGAUUUCUUAAUUGUUGAGAGUCAAAUCCAAUUUCAUGAAUAUCUGAAUUGUUUACUUAGCAGCUUUCGUAGACAUUAAAAUGGUGGGGCUACACGGAGAUGUUAUUGAUCUUUACAUAGAAGUGUUGUCAUGGCCUAUUAUGGAUAUUUUGAAUCAGGACAACCCUGUUAAGGUAAUGAGCCUCUCCCAACCGGCAACAUUACUUAUUUUGAACAUAAAAAAACAUCUCCAUUUCAAGGUUGCCAUGUUGUUACAGUUACCGAAGAUGAUCCAAAUGAAUUUAAUGCCUGGGAUGACUACAAAGAAGCAUUUCAUAUUCCAAUGUUACAAGAAAUUUGGGAUGAAAUAAACUCAGGCAUGGAUACCAUUUCCAAAUGCCAAUGUGUGCCUUGCCCUGAGAAGCAUUCAGAAAGUCCUAAUGUGUACCGAAUCAAGGGCAAUACAGAAGAAGGCAAUUUGCCAAAAAUGGGAGAUGUCAUGUUAUUAUCAGCAAAGGGAUUGGGAUCUAGAGAUUAAAUUAUACAUAGCAGAUCCUUUUGCACCAUCCUUGUGGUUUUACAAGUGUCAACUACAGACAUGAUUGUCAGGCUAUCGCAGUGGAAAUUUGGGAAAAUGAAGAAGAAAAGUUACUACCAAAUUAUGCACCUGGCUAAUCUGAAAACAUAUUUAAGUAGUUGGGAAGUCAUGAGGAGAUGUCCCAGAAAAAGUUCUGAACUAUGCAAUCUCAUAUGGACUAAAAAUAUGAAUGGAGUAUGUCUUGACAUUUCUCUAUUAAUUUCAGAAAAGCUUUGCAUCACGCACUGACAUUUUUUAAUAUAUGUUGUAGGCUGAUGGAGUGUAACACCCUAAAAAUUUCAUUUCUCCCAAAUAGGCAAAUUGAAUUAAUCAUUUGAUGUGAGCACUAAAGAAUAGUAAGAAAAUAAUUUUUUGAAAUAAAAUUCACUAUAGGUUUUAGAAACAUGUAUGUGCAUUCAUGCUGCUGCAUGUAUUUUUGUGUGUGAAGUUUUUCUUUUCAAAUUGGUUUUGCUUUUCUUUUCAAAAUAUUUGAGCAAAACAUAAAUUGGAAAAUUGAAAAGGAAAUUUCCCUCUCCCUACCCGACUUGGGCUUGGCCCAACCUCUUCCCCCGCGGCCUGCCUGCCCCCUUUCCCCUUCUUCUUGUUCCGGCCCAGCGCCAGAUCUGCCCAUCUCGCGGCCCAGUGGCAUCAGCCCGCGCCGCGCACCCCUCUCCCUUCGCCGCAGUGGCUGACAAGGCGGCCCCACGCACCAGCGCCACUGCCAGGUGGGACCCACCUGUCGGGCCUGUCUUCUACCUCGAGUCCGAGCCGGACACGAGUUGCACCGCAACCGCGCGCGCGAUUCGCGCGAGGAGUCUUGGUUUCGCCCGAUUCCAGUCCUUUAAAUAUCGCCCCGAAGCUCUGCUAACCCCUCAAUCCAUCUCGAGCCGCAGCCGCCGCGUGAAACUCACCGGAAUCCGCCGCCGAGAUCCGCCGAAUCCCCAAUCCGCCACUGCAGUGCACCCCGAGCCACGUGAGCCGCUUGCCGGUCUUCCCGUCGCGCUUGCGAAGUCGCCGAACCGCUUCUUUCGCGAUUUCGUGUAUUCUGUGCGUAGCUAACCUCGGCCGAACCUUCUUGCAGAGCCGCCGCCCGCCUCUUGCCGUCGUGAGCUCGCAGCGGACUUCCUCGGCUCCAAGCUUGGCCCUAGGUGAGUUCGCAUCGAGCGCCUAAGUGUUCCGGUGUUUUCGGUUUAGUCUCUCGUGCCCUAAAUCGUGUAAACCGUGAGCUCCGGCCGUGCUCGGCCAUGGCGCCACCGCCGGCACCUCCAACUCCGGCCGGCUGUCUCCCCUCCCCAACCCCCGAUCUAAUCCUGGCCAUCGAUUUGAGAUCCAACGGCCAGAAACGAAGGAUACCCCUUCGGCCGGCUAUUUUUCAGAAAACCCCCUGCGCUUUUUAAUGUUAUAACCCGCAGUCCUUUACGCUUUCCCGUUUUACGCUUUCCAAGCUGGGAAAACGUAUUUCAGUCGCGCAGUUUAAAAAAAGAGUUUCUCAGAAUUACAGUUUUGCCAUCAAGUCUAUUUUGCUCAUAAAAACUUCGUUUUAACUCCGAUUUAUUCCGUUCAAGUUGCGUUAGAUUCGUUUUCGCAUAACCUAUAGUCUAAUGCUACUGUAGUACAAGUUUUCAACUUUUUAAAUCUGAGUUUAGAUUUAAUCUAUUAUUUAUUUAAAGUAAAUCUUCGGAAAAUCAUAACUUCUUCGUUAUAACUCCGAUUUUCGUGAUCUUUACGUCUGUGUGAUCGUAGAGCGAUGUAGAUUCGUUUUAUAAACUUUUCAUCUUUAUUUAUUACUGUUGGUGUACUGUUCUAAUAAUAGGCUUGUUUGCUUUGCAUGAUUGCCUUUGGAUGAUUGUUGUUGAUGUGGUGGUUACGAGUAGACGGUGAGCAGUUCGUGGGUGAACAAGAGUACUUCUACGAGCAGGACCAGCAGGACCAGUGUGAUCAAGGCAAGUAUAGCAUGGGAUCAUCCUUGUUUCCUAAUAACUUUAAUCACACAAUUCAUAUUGCAUGUGUCUCCUUGAUAAGGAUUUCCUAGUAUUGAUCUUAUACCUUGCCACCUAUGGUUAUGCAUUGGGUAGCUUAUGCUAGUGCUCCACUAAACCAUGAUCUUGUAAUUUGGCUAAAGGAUUAUGCAAUAAACAUUAAAAGAUGACUUUUUAGCAACUUUGGAUAAGAGGGCUGGAGCAUUGGGCUAUUUUAUGGUGCUCUAGUUUCUCUCCAUAAGGACUUAUCUGUAUCUGACCAUCCGGGACAUACAGUACAACUGUGAGGGCUACAUGGCUCUGGCUUUAGCUCAGUAUGAGGACCUUUUCUAGCUUGUUAGUGGUUACCCUUGUGGCGCAAGUGGGGGAUAACAGACCGUGGAUUCCUGCGGGUGAGUCACACGGACUGACUAACGAAACCUAGCGGCCCUAACUUGUUAGACGAACCUUUGAAAGGCUUCAUAGUGAACCCUGCCGGUCUUCCUUGGGAGUGGGCUAAUGGGCUGAUCACCUCGGGCGAAAGGGUAAAUCACGACUCACAGUGAAAGUGUACAACCUCUGCAGAGUGUAAAACUGAUAUAUCAGCCGUGCUCACGGUCACGAGCGGCCUUGGACCAAUACAGAAUAAAUGAACCUAAUGGCACUUCAUUAAAUGUUAUUAUUGUUAAUAUGUUGUUUAUGCUAUUCUUUAUUCACUUACCUGAUCAUGAGUUUACUAUGGGUCUUGACAACUUGAUGCUACUCUUAUGCUAAAAUUGUGACAACUAAAAGCUACAUGCAGUUGAACCAGUGUCUAGCCUUUGAGCUUCAUGAACCCCCUGUUAUACUUGUUAAGUACGAGGUGUACUUACACUUGUUUAUUUUCUUUAUUUGGAUAAAAAUCCCGGAUGGGUAACAGAUGGCAAUGGUAAUGACUACUACCAGUACUUCCCUGAGGACUUCUAGACUUGUGGUCAACCAGUUGACGUGCCUGUGUGAUGGAGCUUCCAUGCUAGAGUUAUCUUUUAUUUCCGCUAUAUUUGUGUAAAGACUCUGAGUUAUAUCGUUAUGUAAUAACCACUUGUGAUGAUACUCCCUAUAAUUUGUCGGCUUAUGUGUGAUUGAUCUCUGGGCUCACAUAAGGUUUUGCAUUCAAUUUUAUCCUUAAAAUUGGGUGUGACAAAUUGGUAUCAAAGCCGUGUUGACUGUAGGACGCAAGCCUAGAUAGAAACGGUCGUCUUAGUAGUCUUUUCUUCUCUACAUUCAUGCUUACCAUCUUGCUCUUGUUAUUUUCUAAAAACUUUAUGCUUCUAUCAUCUUAUUCUAUUAUGAAAUCAUUGAUUCUAAUCUAACUUCUCCCCGGUCUAUUCUAUAGAUGGUUCGUGCCAACAAGACCGCCCGCAUCUCCACUGGAGGGUACCAUCCACCUCGUUACCAAUACGAGCCUAUGGAGCCACAAGAGGAGAGUUCACCGGAGCGUGAGGAGACCCCACCACCUUCAGAGCAAGCAUCUGGGCCAGAGCUAUCGCAAGUGGAGUCUGAACCAGAGGAGGAGCCCCAGGAGUUCAUACUUAUUUCUGAUGAUGAAGAAGAAGGUGCUCCCGGAGGAGGUCAACCCCCAUCACCGCCACAAGAUGGACCUGCUGAAGAUGAUGAGUCCCCUCCCAUAGGGUGGACUAGGAAGGUGUACCACAAGGCUUCGUGCAACUCUCCGUCGCAUCACCGGCUAGUGGGAAUGUUGGAGAAUUACUUCUCUGACUGGGAUGCAGUGGUGGAGUAUUCCUGCAUUGAGUACACACACCCCCUGGAGAACCCCUACUGGAAGUCCAAGGUGCUGAUCUUUCCCAAAGAUGUGGAGAAAGAUGCCUACUUGAAGGACAGGGGCUACCGUCAUGAUGGGCAUAGAGCUACCAUGGAAGAAAGCAUGGAGGAGGCAGCUUUCACAGCAUGUUUGUUCCUCCGUGAGCAGCGUUUCGGUAACAUGCGGUGGGACAUACACCGUUAUCUACCCCGCCUGGACCCGGAACAAGGAUGGGGAAUGCUGGAGCCAACAGAUUUGGACCCAGUCUCCCGAGUGAUGGUGUACUUCGCUCAUGAGAUGGUGGAAAAGCAUUUGAAAUUGCAAGACAUGGUGAUAGCACAAGGGAAGGCUCUCAAGAGGUGCUACAAGAUGAUUGACGAGCAUCGUGAGAGGGAAGGACAGCCCAAGAUCUAUGGGAAGCUCGACUAUGAACCACGCCCUUAGUGUUGGAGGUCCCUAUUUGUAAUAAGCCGCUAGAAGCGCUAGUGAGUCGAGUCAAGUUAGUGUGGUGUGCUUUUGUUAUGCUUAGUUGCUUGUUAUUAUGUUCAUGAGUGAGUUGGAUCUUUGUAAUGAGUGCUGGGACAUUGUAGGCAUGUCUACAAGUUCCAUAGUUUAGGAUUAAGGUUUAAUGAAUAAAUAGUUGGGUUGGAAAAUCUGUCUUUCCUGGUAUCGUUCUUUAAACCUUUCUGUCUUAAUAAUUUUACCCAGAAAAAUCAGUUCGACCAAAAAUUAUGAAAAUUUUAUGGGAAUAACUAGACUUUAGCAUCUUUCCUAUGCCGCUGGAAUCACCUUUUUAUCUGAUCUGAGCCGAGAGUUAUGAAUGUUGAAAACAGAGGUUCCUGUGCAGUUUGAGUUCUGGGACAGUUUCGAUUGGAGACAGUUUAUGGCUAAUUUAAUGUCCGAAUCAGAAUUUGUGUUCUAAAUAAAAGUUGUAGACAAUUUCUUAAGAUUUCCAACCAUCAAAGUUUCGCCUCUGUUGGACUUUUAUAUCUCAAGUUAUGAUUGUUUUACUGAACUGCUGGCACUGGACUCACUCAGAAAGUUUUCAGGAUGGCAAACUUGUGUAUGAAAGUCUAUAUUUGGGAGAUUCUAAAGUUUUGCAUGAUUAUGACAGAUGCCGCCAAGAGGUAGAGGACGUGGAAGGGGUGUCCCACUCAACCCACCCGCCACCAUUGAACAGCUUCUAGCAGUCCAGACGCAGCUCAUGGAAGCCCUGGUGAACAACCAACAGAAUCAUCCAAUCGGAGGAGCACCACCGCGUGAUAAGUGGGGUGAAUUUUUGAAAGGUCAUCCCCCUGUGUUCACACAUGCUACUGAUCCACUGGAGGCAGAUGACUGGCUUCGCGCAGUGGAGAAGCAACUCAACAUAGCACAGUGUGAUGAUAGGCAGAAGGUGUUGUUCGCAUCUGGACAACUUCAGGGAGAAGCUCAGACAUGGUGGGAGUCGUUUGAGUAUGGACGACCUCCCAAUGCACUUGCUAUCACAUGGUUGGAGUUCAAGGAGAACUUUAGGUCCUAUCACAUACCUGAAGGGUUAAUAGAACUGAAGGCCGAGGAGUUCCGGAAUUUGAAGCAGGGAUCUAUGACAGUUCCAGAGUAUAGGGACAAGUUUGCUCAGUUGUCGUGCUAUGCUCCCAGUGAGGUGGCUAAUGAUGCUGAUAAACAUCGCCUCUUCUUGAAGGGUUUGUAUGAUGGGCUCCAACUCCAGCUGAUGUCCAACGAAUACCCCAACUAUCAGACGCUUGUGAACCGUGCCAUCGUGGUGGAUAACAAGCGUAAGGAGAUGGAUGCUAAAAGGAAGAGGAUGCAGGGACAGGCCUCCGGAAGUAAUACUCGUCAACGCACUAACCAGCAGCAAGGCUCUCAGCAAAGGUACCAAGGACCACCUUCGCAGUGGAAUCGUGGUCAAUACCCCCAGCGCAAUCAGUUCCAGCAGCGCCCGCAGUAUCAGCAGAAUCAGCAGCAGGGAAAUCAGCAGACAUCACGCCAGGGUACGCCCGGUAACACUCCGAUGAAGACUAGUGCCCCUAACACCCCCAACAAGUGUUUCCGUUGUGGUAAAGAGGGUCACCUGUCAUAUCACUGCCCUGAAAAGCAAAAUCAGCAGACCCCCCAGAAGCAAAAUAGCAACCAGAAGUCAGCUCCCAACACUGGAAGGGUGAACCAUAUGUCCUCUGAGACAGCACAGCAGGAACCGGAAGUUAUGCUCGGUACGUUCGAAGUCAACUCUAUCCCCGCAUCUGUUCUUUUUGAUUCUGGAGCUUCGCAUACUUUCAUAUCACAAGCAUUUGUUAGAAUACAUAGCUUACCCUUAUGUGCCAUGAAGAAUCCCAUAUUAGUAAAUUCACCGAGGGGAAGUAUGCAAGCUGCUUAUAGUUGCCUCCCACUUACUUUAAACCUAAGGGGGGUAGAGUUCAAGAUAAGUCCAAUUGUGUUGAGAGCAUCUGGUAUAGAUGUGAUUCUGGGAAUGGACUGGAUGAAACAACAAGAUGCAUCAAUUCAGUGUAAAGGAAAGGCAAUUGCACUAACAACACCAAAAGGGGACAGAAUAUGUGUGGAAGUUCCAGUUCAGCCUCAGCCAACAGCUACAGUGAACCAGCUUGAUAACAAUGUCAAUCAGGAGGGCCUGGUUGUUGAUGAGUUCCCAGACGUGUUCCCCGAUGAUUUGCCAGGUAUGCCACCCGACCGUGACAUUGAGUUUAUUAUUGAAUUAUUACCUGGCACUGCACCUAUAGCUAAACGUCCAUAUAGAAUGGGGGUUAAAGAAUUAGAAGAACUUAAGAAACAAAUAAAGGAGUUGCAGGAAAAAGGUUUCAUUCGCCCUAGCUCUUCACCUUGGGGGGCACCAGUGAUUUUUGUCGAUAAGAAAGAUGGCACACAGAGGAUGUGUGUAGAUUACCGGUCACUCAAUGAGGUCACAAUCAAGAAUAAAUAUCCAUUGCCUAGAAUUGAUGAUUUGUUUGAUCAGUUGAGAGGUGCUUGUGUGUUUUCUAAGAUCGAUCUUCAUUCUGGGUACCAUCAGCUGAAGAUUCGUGCCACUGAUAUACCAAAGACAGCAUUCACGACCCGGUAUGGUUUGUAUGAGUACACAGUGAUGUCUUUCGGUCUGACCAAUGCUCCUGCUUACUUUAUGUACCUGAUGAAUAAGGUGUUCAUGGAGUUUCUUGACAAGUUUGUGGUGGUGUUUAUUGACGACAUAUUGGUAUUCUCCAAGACUGAACGAGAGCACGCCGAGCAUCUGAGGUUAGUCUUGCAGAAGCUUCGGGAACACAAGUUAUAUGCUAAACGAAGUAAGUGUGAGUUUUGGUUGAAGGAAGUUUCCUUUCUUGGCCAUGUUGUCUCUAAUGGAGGAAUAGCGGUGGAUCCAAGCAAGGUGAAGGAUGUGCUCGAUUGGAAACCACCUACAGAUGUGAGUGGAAUCCGCAGUUUCUUGGGAUUGGCUGGUUAUUACCGAAGGUUCAUUGAGGGAUUCUCCAAGCUUGCCAAACCAAUGACAGCUCUGCUUGAGAAAAACGCCAAGUUUGUGUGGUCUGAGAAGUGUCAAGAAAAUUUCGAGGAGUUGAAGAAGCGGUUGACUACAGCUCCAGUGUUAGUACUGCCAGAUCUAAGCAAGAACUUCUCCAUAUAUUAUGAUGCAUCGCGUCUAGGACUUGGGUGUGUUCUUAUGCAAGAAGGAAGAGUGGUGGCAUAUGCAUCCCGACAGUUGAGGAAGCAUGAGUUAAAUUAUCCUACCCAUGACUUGGAGUUAGCCGCAGUGGUUCAUGCCCUGAAGAUCUGGAGACACUAUCUUAUUGGUCAUAAGAGUGACAUAUACACGGACCAUAAGAGUUUGAAGUAUAUAUUCACACAAUCGGAUCUGAAUUUGAGGCAACGUCGGUGGUUAGAACUGAUCAAGGACUAUGAUUUGGAGGUACACUACCACCCGGGGAAAGCAAAUGUAGUUGCAGACGCCCUAAGCAGGAAGAGCUAUGCCAACGAGGUGCAAAUAGCCUCUAUGGCUGAGGAGUUGUGUGCUGAAAUUUCACAUUUGAACUUGGGUUUUGUUAUUAAUGCAGUUGAGUUAGUAAUAGAACCUACCUUGGAGCAAGAAAUACGAAAGGGUCAGUUACAGGAUGAAAAGCUGAAGGAGAUAGCUGAAAACAUAGUGAUCGGAAAGGCACCAGGUUUCCGAAUGGAUGAUAAUGGGACACUAUGGUUUGGGAAAAGGCUAUGCGUGCCGGAGGAUCGGUCUAUUAGAGAGGCAAUUCUACGGGAGGCACACGAGUCCGCUUAUUCAAUACACCCUGGCAGCACUAAGAUGUACCUAGACCUAAAAGAGAAGUAUUGGUGGUAUGGCCUGAAAAGAGAUGUUGCGGAGUAUGUCGCUUUAUGUGAUACUUGCCAGUGGGUCAAAGCAGAACAUCAGAGACCGGCAGGAUUGUUGCAACCAAUGAAGAUCCCUGAGUGGAAGUGGGAGGAAGUUGGUAUGGAUUUCAUAGUGGGAUUACCCCGCACUCAGAAAGGUUAUGACUCUAUAUGGGUAAUAGUGGAUCGGUUAACAAAGGUCGCUCAUUUUAUCCCGGUCAAGACCAAAUAUAGUGGACCAAAAUUGGCUGAGUUGUACAUGGAGAGAAUAGUGUGUUUGCAUGGGGUUCCUAGGAAGAUAGUAUCUGAUCGAGGUACCCAGUUUACAUCUCACUUUUGGCAGAAAGUGCAUGAGUCUCUGGGGACUAAGCUGAAUUUUAGUACAGCAUAUCAUCCUCAGACCGAUGGGCAGACUGAGAGGACAAAUCAAAUUUUGGAAGAUAUGCUGAGGGCAUGUGCUUUGCAGUAUGGGACGAGUUGGGAUAAGAGUUUGCCAUAUGCAGAGUUUUCAUACAACAACAGUUAUCAGAAAAGUCUUCAGAUGGCACCAUUUGAAGCCUUGUAUGGUCGGAAGUGUAGAACCCCGUUGUUUUGGAAUCAAGCGGGAGAAACACAAGUGUUUGGACCAGAUGUGUUACGGGAUGCAGAACAGCAAGUGAGAAGAAUUCGAGAGAACUUGAGAGCAGCACAGUCUCGGCAGAAGAGUUAUGCUGAUACACGAAGAAGAGAGUUGGCUUUUGAAGUAGGAGACUAUGUGUAUUUGAAGGUUUCCCCUAUGAGAAGUGUGAGGAGAUUUAACAUGAAAGGGAAGUUAGCACCAAGGUAUAUUGGGCCUUUCAGAGUGUUGGAAAGGCGAGGCGAGGUAGCAUACCAGUUGGAACUGCCUGAGAGUUUAAAAGGAGUGCAUGAUGUCUUCCACGUGUCACAGCUUAAGAAGUGCUUGCGGGUGCCAGAAGAGCAGAUACCGAUAGAGGAAUUAACGGUUAAAAGUGAUCUUACUUAUGAAGAAUAUCCGGUCCGAAUUUUGGAAACAGCAGAAAGAGUCACUAGGAGUCGGGUCAUCAGAAUGUGCAGAGUGCAGUGGAAUAGGUAUACCGAGGAAGAGGCUACGUGGGAAAGAGAAGAAGAUUUAAGAAAAUCAUAUCCUCAGUUGUUUGAGUAAGCACCAACCGAAUCUCGGGGACGAGAUUCAUCUUAAGGGGGGUAGAAUUGUAACACCCUAAAAAUUUCAUUUCUCCCAAAUAGGCAAAUUGAAUUAAUCAUUUGAUGUGAGCACUAAAGAAUAGUAAGAAAAUAAUUUUUUGAAAUAAAAUUCACUAUAGGUUUUAGAAACAUGUAUGUGCAUUCAUGCUGCUGCAUGUAUUUUUGUGUGUGAAGUUUUUCUUUUCAAAUUGGUUUUGCUUUUCUUUUCAAAAUAUUUGAGCAAAACAUAAAUUGGAAAAUUGAAAAGGAAAUUUCCCUCUCCCUACCCGACUUGGGCUUGGCCCAACCUCUUCCCCCGCGGCCUGCCUGCCCCCUUUCCCCUUCUUCUUGUUCCGGCCCAGCGCCAGAUCUGCCCAUCUCGCGGCCCAGUGGCAUCAGCCCGCGCCGCGCACCCCUCUCCCUUCGCCGCAGUGGCUGACAAGGCGGCCCCACGCACCAGCGCCACUGCCAGGUGGGACCCACCUGUCGGGCCUGUCUUCUACCUCGAGUCCGAGCCGGACACGAGUUGCACCGCAACCGCGCGCGCGAUUCGCGCGAGGAGUCUUGGUUUCGCCCGAUUCCAGUCCUUUAAAUAUCGCCCCGAAGCUCUGCUAACCCCUCAAUCCAUCUCGAGCCGCAGCCGCCGCGUGAAACUCACCGGAAUCCGCCGCCGAGAUCCGCCGAAUCCCCAAUCCGCCACUGCAGUGCACCCCGAGCCGCGUGAGCCGCUUGCCGGUCUUCCCGUCGCGCUUGCGAAGUCGCCGAACCGCUUCUUUCGCGAUUUCGUGUAUUCUGUGCGUAGCUAACCUCGGCCGAACCUUCUUGCAGAGCCGCCGCCCGCCUCUUGCCGUCGUGAGCUCGCAGCGGACUUCCUCGGCUCCAAGCUUGGCCCUAGGUGAGUUCGCAUCGAGCGCCUAAGUGUUCCGGUGUUUUCGGUUUAGUCUCUCGUGCCCUAAAUCGUGUAAACCGUGAGCUCCGGCCGUGCUCGGCCAUGGCGCCACCGCCGGCACCUCCAACUCCGGCCGGCUGUCUCCCCUCCCCAACCCCCGAUCUAAUCCUGGCCAUCGAUUUGAGAUCCAACGGCCAGAAACGAAGGAUACCCCUUCGGCUGGCUAUUUUUCAGAAAACCCCCUGCGCUUUUUAAUGUUAUAACCCGCAGUCCUUUACGCUUUCCCGUUUUACGCUUUCCAAGCUGGGAAAACGUAUUUCAGUCGCGCAGUUUAAAAAAAGAGUUUCUCAGAAUUACAGUUUUGCCAUCAAGUCUAUUUUGCUCAUAAAAACUUCGUUUUAACUCCGAUUUAUUCCGUUCAAGUUGCGUUAGAUUCGUUUUCGCAUAACCUAUAGUCUAAUGCUACUGUAGUACAAGUUUUCAACUUUUUAAAUCUGAGUUUAGAUUUAAUCUAUUAUUUAUUUAAAGUAAAUCUUCGGAAAAUCAUAACUUCUUCGUUAUAACUCCGAUUUUCGUGAUCUUUACGUCUGUGUGAUCGUAGAGCGAUGUAGAUUCGUUUUAUAAACUUUUCAUCUUUAUUUAUUACUGUUGGUGUACUGUUCUAAUAAUAGGCUUGUUUGCUUUGCAUGAUUGCCUUUGGAUGAUUGUUGUUGAUGUGGUGGUUACGAGUAGACGGUGAGCAGUUCGUGGGUGAACAAGAGUACUUCUACGAGCAGGACCAGCAGGACCAGUGUGAUCAAGGCAAGUAUAGCAUGGGAUCAUCCUUGUUUCCUAAUAACUUUAAUCACACAAUUCAUAUUGCAUGUGUCUCCUUGAUAAGGAUUUCCUAGUAUUGAUCUUAUACCUUGCCACCUAUGGUUAUGCAUUGGGUAGCUUAUGCUAGUGCUCCACUAAACCAUGAUCUUGUAAUUUGGCUAAAGGAUUAUGCAAUAAACAUUAAAAGAUGACUUUUUAGCAACUUUGGAUAAGAGGGCUGGAGCAUUGGGCUAUUUUAUGGUGCUCUAGUUUCUCUCCAUAAGGACUUAUCUGUAUCUGACCAUCCGGGACAUACAGUACAACUGUGAGGGCUACAUGGCUCUGGCUUUAGCUCAGUAUGAGGACCUUUUCUAGCUUGUUAGUGGUUACCCUUGUGGCGCAAGUGGGGGAUAGCAGACCGUGGAUUCCUGCGGGUGAGUCACACGGACUGACUAACGAAACCUAGCGGCCCUAACUUGUUAGACGAACCUUUGAAAGGCUUCAUAGUGAACCCUGCCGGUCUUCCUUGGGAGUGGGCUAAGGGGCUGAUCACCUCGGGCGAAAGGGUAAAUCACGACUCACAGUGAAAGUGUACAACCUCUGCAGAGUGUAAAACUGAUAUAUCAGCCGUGCUCACGGUCACGAGCGGCCUUGGACCAAUACAGAAUAAAUGAACCUAAUGGCACUUCAUUAAAUGUUAUUAUUGUUAAUAUGCUAUUUAUGCUAUUCUUUAUUCACUUACCUGAUCAUGAGUUUACUAUGGGUCUUGACAACUUGAUGCUACUCUUAUGCUAAAAUUGUGACAACUAAAAGCUACAUGCAGUUGAACCAGUGUCUAGCCUUUGAGCCUCAUGAACCCCCUGUUAUACUUGUUAAGUACGAGGUGUACUUACACUUGUUUAUUUUCUUUAUUUGGAUAAAAAUCCCGGAUGGGUAACAGAUGGCAAUGGUAAUGACUACUACCAGUACUUCCCUGAGGACUUCUAGACUUGUGGUCAACCAGUUGACGUGCCUGUGUGAUGGAGCUUCCAUGCUAGAGUUAUCUUUUAUUUCCGCUAUAUUUGUGUAAAGACUCUGAGUUAUAUCGUUAUGUAAUAACCACUUGUGAUGAUACUCCCUAUAAUUUGUCGGCUUAUGUGUGAUUGAUCUCUGGGCACACAUAAGGUUUUGCAUUCAAUUUUAUCCUUAAAAUUGGGUGUGACAUGGAGAAUGUGGAAUAUUUGAAGGUAAAGCAAAAGUUGUUGAGGUUGUCCGUGUUGAUUUUGGACUAAACGAAUCACAGAGUGAUGCAGUAGCAAGUUGCAUUUCAACAAUUAAAUCUGGGAAAACUUCUGUACGUCUAAUGAUUCCAAGCAAACCUAGAAUUCUGUGUAAGCUUCUAAUGAUUCCGAGCAAACCUAGAAUUCUUGUAUGUGCUCCAACAAACACAGCUCUCGUGCAAUUGGCUUCUCGCCUUGUUUCUCUAGUUGAGAAGUCCACUGAAACCAAACAUUUACUUGGCAACAUUAUUUUGUUUGGUAGCGAUAAGCUCUCAUCAUGUUGGAAGAAAGCUGAUAAAAACCUAUCAAAAAUAUUUUUGAAGAAUCUUAUUGAUACAAAUGGGGAUAUGAAUCAUAGAAAUCAAGAGAGAAUGUUGUUGCAAGCUUCACAACUCGUAUUUUGCAGUCCAUUCAUGUCGGCUAGGUUGAACAAUGAGCAAUAUGACAUACUGGUUAUUGAUGAGGCAGCAUAUUUAAAAGAAUGUGAGUCAAUGAUCCCUCUCUCAAUUAAUGGGAAAAAACAUCUGGUGCUUAUUGGGGAUGACUUGCAGCUCCAAUCAGUGGCAAAGAGCCAGGUAAGUCUUUCUUAUAAUGCCAUUUGAAUGUAUCCUUAUGUAACCAUUGAUUAUUUCCUAAUUUCUAGAUUGCUCAUCCUCUCGCUGCUAAUUGUAUAGAUUGCUAAAGAGGCCAAGUAUGGACGAAGCCUCUUUGAGAGAUUGUGUGAAAUUGGUUGGCAUAAGCACUUGUUAAAUGUGCAAUAUAUAAUGCACCCUGACAUCAGCAGGUUUCCAAUGAAAGUUUUUUAUGAUGAAACAAUUAUAGAUGCCACUGAAAAGACGUCUGCCAAGAUUUUUAUUGGUGAUAUUUUUGGCAAUUAUUCAUUCAUUAUUGUUGAGUAUUGUAUAGAACAUCAGACUGGUCAGAGUGUACAAAAUGUGGUUGAAGCUGCUGUAGCAGCCACUAUUGUUUCCAAGCUUUCUAAAGGUAUAGUCUGUAAGGAUUUUUACUAAAUCCAAUUAGAUUAGGGCUCAUCUGUGUAUAUUUGGUCUACAACUGCAUCAUGUACCAACCAGAAUAAGAAAGCCAGCAUUGGUGUUAUAUCUCUUUAUGCAUCCCAAGUGAUUGCUUUGAAAGAAAAUAUUGGAAGGAUUCAAACGGGUGAGCUUCUUUCUGUUGAAGUUAAAACCGUUGAUUCAUUUCAACGUGAUGAGAAGGAUAUCAUAAUACUUUCAACAGUUAGAAACAAUAAAUUUGGGAACAUAGGCUUUCUAGAUUCUGGUGGGAGAGAUAAUGUGGCCUUGAUAAGAGCAAGGUAUAUUACAUUUUUCCCUUUUCGCAACUGCCUUUGGAUCCUUUGAAAAUUUAUCUCCUAGUAUAUUUUUUAUUUAAAUAAAUUGUUUUCCCCACAGGGAUUGCCUUUGGAUUCUUGGAAAUGAAAAAACUCUCACUAAGAGUAAAUCAGUAUGGUCUGAGCUAGUCCAAGAUGCAAAAGGUCGUUCUUGCUUCUUUGAUGCUCGUGCUUAUCUAGAACUUGAUAAAGUAAUUAGUAGCUUCAAAUCUAUGAACAGUCUAUCGCCAUCUGGGUGCAGUCAGCUAAAUAUAGAUGUGCAACUCGCAAGUGAUAUCAUAGUAAAAGCCGCAGUAGAGGAAGCACAAGCAGUCGUUGAUUUGUCUCCUAGUCACAUUCCUUCAGUGAAGAGGCUCUGUUCUUCGCACGAGGACGAGCUUGCCAGAUCAGAAGUAGCACAUGUUGUAGGGCCUGCACCUGCACAAGCAGUAGACGAAGUAUGGAAGAGGGACCUUGAUUUGUCUCCUAGUCACAUUCCUUCAUGCACCAUUCUAGAAGAGCCACGAGCCACAGACCUGUUGCUGUCAGAGGGGAUGCAGAUCGAGGUCCCCCUCCAGGACUCACAAGGACAAUCUGCAGAAGUUGUUCCUGCUCCUCCUCGGCCGUGCUUCGAGUUGUUGCAAUCUAGGUAGAAAGUGUACUUAAAGUCAAUAUCCGCAUUCUUCCUUGCUCUACAAAUGUACUGAGUGAUAACAUGUUUGCUCUUAGGAAAUCUGUAUUAAGAGUAGCAACAUCUCGGAUUACUGGUGCAGCGUCAUCUUCCUCAGUAGAAGCCCCAGAGCAUCUAACUACCUCUGUAGUCACUGAGCUGAGUACUUUCCCACCUGCUGAGCCGAGUACUUUCUCACCUGGCGAUGUAUCAGCCAGUGAAGAUAAGAUGCCCAAAGAUCUUCCCAUGCUGACUACUUCCUCAGGUGCAGCGCUUCCCAUGGCCACAAAGUACGAAGCACUGACUCAGACAAUGGAAUUGGAGAAGAAAUAUAAUGAUGAUAUGGUUAGUAUACGUAUCAAUGUAUUUCAAGAAACUGUAUCUGUACUGCCAUCUACUUAUAUUGCUGACUUCUCUUGGUGCAUGCUAGACUUCUGUUGAACAAUUAAUAAAGUAGCAAUUGGCACUUCUGAAACAACCCAGCCAACAACUACUCGCCUGGGCAGAGUCUGCUGAAGCAAAGUCGGCUGAGGAACAAGAGCGCUAUGCAAAACAAGAAAAAGAUCAUCAAGCUACCAUUGUUGUCCUCCAAGAACAACUUGACUCUCUAAUGGAGAAGAACAAGGAGCUAUCGGCUUCUCUAAAAGGUUAGAAUUCUUUAUUUCAAGGUCAUGAUCUACUCACCCAAAUGAUGCUGAUGUAGUCUUAUGUACUUCAGAGCGUGUUCAAGCUGAGACCACAAUCAAGGAAGCAUUGACCAACUCAGAAUCUCCACAAAGACACUCAGCACCAGCUGGAGCAAGCUCUUCAGAGAGUGAAGGCCCUCAAAGAAGAAUUAGAGUCCGAGCGGAAGAUGUGUCAGGAUGCUGAUAAUCAACUAGAUGAUGAUAGACAGUGGAUGCGGAAUCUGAGUACUCGCUUGGAGAAGUCCAUAGUAGAAAAAGAAGAAAUCAAGGUGACUGCCACCACAAUUCUCCAAGUGGCCUCUGGAUCGUCUGAGAAUGAUGUUUCCAAGCCCAUCUUGGAACAAGUGCGUGGCCUGAUCCAAGUAAUAAGACAACAACUAGAACUUUUGCUUCGCAAGCACUAGGAUCAGUGAGAGCUUUCUUCCCCAGUCUUGAUCUUACUCGAGUUGGUGAGGGUAUACCAGAAGAUUUCUCAACUCAAGAUUUAGUCGGGCACAUAGCUGCAAUGGACUCUGUAGCAGAAAGGCUACUCACUAACAAUAUGGUGAAACAUUGUAAAGCAACUGAUAAAUGUAAAGCAACUGAUGUGCUUUUUAUCUUGUAAGGCAACGUUAAGUAUAGCAACUUAAGUUAUAACCAACAGCAAUUCCUUUUGCCUAGCUUUGUAACUUUAGGAUUCUAGUUAAACACUUGAUUAAAAAGAGAUGUGUGUAAAGUGUGACACCAAUGUGAAAACAAACAUCACCUGCAAACAACAACUUUUUAAGAAAAGCGACAUUGUCUGGUACAGAGCAACAUCCUAAUAAAAUGGUACAUGGUAGCAAAUAGCAAGUCACCAGGUGACACUUUAAAAGAGAUGACUACUUCCAGGAUGCUAAGGUACAAGACUGUAGAUCUCUUUAAUUUAUUGAAAAGUAUAUGCUAAUUAUAGAUAAGAAUCACGUGAAGCUACUUUUUUCAGCUCUCAGCCUCUUAGUUCAUUUCAGAGAAUCACUUCAUAGAAUCAGCAAAGAAUUAGCUCUCGCUGAGAAUCUGCUCCAUGGAGCUCUGCCAAAUGGCCGAGAAGUAGGGGCGUGGAGCCACGUCGCCUGAAAGUAAUGGUAGCCGUUGGAUCUUACAUUGGGCGGUUAUCGUUUGCUGGAGUGGAUUCUUGUCACUGUAGCAGAUUCGGCACGAAGCAACUUCCCACCCGGUUUUAUCCAGUGUUUUGUACGCAAACUCUAUAGCUUCUGUUGGCUUGUGCUCUGGAUACAGCCCAACAAAUACAAGGCAGCUUUCGAUUCUCGUUCUCGACUUCCAGGCUAAAAAACACACCCGGUUGCCCCACUCUUCCCCCCAUCUCCUCUCGGCACCAGGGUGACGUGAUGGUGACGGGCGACGGCGCCCACCACAAGCGGAGCACCACGAUCUUACUUCUACGAGAUCUCUUAAAAGUACUCUACAUGUAACUCUUAGAUGACUCAAACAAACUGCACAUGAUGAAUCCAGCUUGAUAGGAUUGGGCUUGACUGGCUACAUCUAUGAGAUCUCUUAAAAGCAAGGAAACUAGUGGGAUAACAGGGAAAAGUACUCAUACUCUACAUGUAACUCUUAGAUGACUAGGACAAACUACACAAGCUGACUCUGCCUUGAUAGGUUUGGGCUUGACUGACUACUUCUUUGAAAUGUCUUAAAAGUUUGAAAACUAGUGGGUUAAGGGGAAAAGUACUCCAUCGACUAAUACAUCUCUCAAAAGUAAUCAUUGAGGAACAAUGUCCUUAACUUGCUAAAUGUAAGGCAACAUUUCAAUAAUUCCCAAAGGACUAUUACAAGAACACAAUUCCACAGUUAACUGCUCGAGCGCCGGCGCCCCAAUGGUGAGCUGAGACAAGGAGUGCAGGUCCUUGAGCAUCAUCACAAGCAGAGACUCCAAAUAUAUGGUGAAAUUGCGCAGCCCACGGACUUUGAAAAUGAUGAGCCUCUGCAAGCAUGGGCACCACGGCGAGGACAUGGCGUCACCUUUGAACCCACACUUUCAUGAGGCAUGAAAGUGUUCUCCAGAACUUCAUGAUCGAAGAGGCCUAGGACCUGCUUUAUCACCAACACCAAAGCAGUGCCUUCCUGUGGUUGGGGAAAAUAAUAAAUUUUUGUUGUGCUUGGGAUGAUGAGUUAAUUAGACAAUUUUACUCUACAGUUUAUAUCAGCACGAACAAGAUAUCGAUAACUUGGAUGAUAGAUGGGAGAAAGAUCACUGCUAACAAGAGAGCCUGGGAGGAAAUGUUAUUCCUUUUCGAUCCUUCAAUCUCUGAAGUCAAGGCCAAGGAGCUGUAUUAAAUAUUUUAGACAUUCUCUAGGCUAGUAGUAUACAUGAAAUUUUAUCGAUAUCAGAAAUAUAAGAAGGUAUUAUAUGCACCUGAGUACUAGCACAUCAAAUUAUCAUUGUAGGCACUUCAUACAUACAUACAUACAUACUUUGGUACAAAAGAUUUUAACAAUGGGAUGGUGAAAUAAAGUAUGUGGGAGUUCAUAACGAAAUACACGAAGAUUAUAAUAUCUAAAAUUUCAUUGCAAUAAAGAAAAAAAGAAUUAUACACAAUGUCUGGUGGAAAUAAUGAUCAGUACAGUUCAAUCCCAAAUAAAAGUCCAAGCUUGACUUCCCGACACAGUCGAGCUAAGUGACUGGAAUCUCAUUACACUGGUUUAGGAUGUCCCUAUAUAGGCUCAUAUAUGUAUACCCUAUACACUUGUAUGGUGAAGCCGCGUUUUUUCUACCCGCAGCUCAUAUAUGUAUACCUUAUACACUUGUUUAGUAAAUUAUUUGGAGUACUACUAGUUGUGAGUAGAAGAACGCGGCUUCAUCGAACAAGUGCAUUGGGUAUACAUAUAUGAUCCUAUAUGACGCCCUAAACUAGUGCAAGGAGACUCGAGUCACUCAGCUCAACUAUGUUAGGAAGUCAAGCUUGGACUUGUCUUUUCUUUCCACACCCUUUUGUUCCGAAUUGAAUUAUACUGAUCAUUAUUUUCACCAAACAUUGUGUACCUAUUAUUAACAAAAACACAUCUAAUGUUUGAUGUAAUGUACAAAUUGUGUAUGUACACAAUGUUUACAUAUUAUCGAACGAUGUCAGUGUAAUUGUUUGUGUAAUUAUUAAUAUAUUAACUAUGUAUCUACACAAUGUAUUUGUAAAUUGUAUCAAACAUCAUAAAUGAUAUUGUUCAAUGCAUAACAAUAGGACAGAGUCAAUAAUCUAAUACAGAUGACACAUGAGGUGACGUCGUGAGCACAGGCGAAGGUGGUGGCUAAAUCCACAAUAUACUUCUCUUUAAGAUGUAAGAAGGCACUGCAGAGCUGAGGGAGCUCAUGAGAGACGCCAUUGCUGCUACCGCGGGGUUUGAGAAAGUGUACUCCCUAUACAUAUACAUAUAUAUACAUAUACAUAUAUAUACAUAUACAUAUACAUAUAUAUACAUAUGUAUGCACACGUAUAUAUACAUAUACCCUCAUCCAAACAUAUAUGUAUGUGUGACGGUGGUAUCUAUGGAGUGAAUUGUAUUUUUUCUAGAACCUUCCGUCUAUAAACUUAUAUUGUACACAAUAUAAGUAUAUAUUUUAUCAAACAUCAUAAAUGUGUUUUUUAUCAAUAAAUAGUUUAUACAAACAUUUACCUUAUAUAGUGUAACAUCAUAAUUCUGAGUCACAGCCAAACACAUAAAUUGUGACAUUUUGCCUUUAUUGUGCUCUAUUGACCAUAUUUUUUCCUUUUCAAGUCAAAGCACUGAUAGUACCUAUAAUUCAAUCGCCAAUCCUCGGCUGCCCAAUGUACUCCAGCAACAAAGAUGACACGAGGUGACGUUGUGAGCACAAGUGCGGGAGGUAACUGGAUACUCCUCUUCGGAGUGUAGGCUGGAACUGUAGGGCUAAGGGAGCUCAAGAGGGGUGCCAUUUAUACUAUUGCGUGCUUUCCUGGUGGGGGCGAGGGCCGAGAGUUCCUUCACUCCACCUCUAACAUAGACCUUCACUGUUCAAUGACGUACCUAGUAUACUUCAUCGGUAGUCGUUCCCAUUCCUAAUGUGGUUGCCCUGCUCCCCUGCCCCGUAGGUACCAGCUAGAGGCACUGCAGCAUGCGCUGGUGGGGAACACGCUAACGUUCCAGGAGACGGGCGCCGGGAAGAUGCUCAUCGUGAUGCUGCUCCUGCACCACUUUCACUAUCGUUGUCGCCAUCAUUGCUGCCACAGUCGCCAUCACCAUCGCCACCAUCCUCAUCCGCGACGCUGCCCCCGAUGAUGGGGUCAUCAAGGAGAGGUGAGGAUGCACCGAGGACGAAGAACUGUUUGUGGUGUUUACGCCGAAGUGGGCGAGCACCUCGCAGAAGAAGCCGUGUAGUGGGACACGCAUCCCAUCCUAUAGCACAUGCUUGUACACGCAGUUGCGUGCCCCCGAAAGAGUACCUGUAUAACUAAUUUGUGUUUACAAUUGGUUUACUUUUCCUUUCAAGUUUUGGUGUUUGCUUUUCAACCUUGAAAGAAAAAGGAGAGGAUAGAGGCUUAGAAACCAGUUGGGGGGAAAAAGAGAUUUGAUUUUCAUCAUUUUUCCUAGUUAAAAGAAAAAGGGGAGGAUAGAGGAUAGAGGCUUAGGAACCGGUGGGAAAAAUUUAAAAACAAUGAUUGUCAAUCGCUACCGGAGCCAAACUAUGUAGCAAACAAAGAAUACAUAUAAAUAAAUAAAUAAAUAAAUAAAUAAAUAAAUAAAUAAAUAAAUAAAUAAAUAAAUAUUGAGCCAUACAGUUUUGAUCAAGCAGCUAUGACGGUCUUCUCCCACAAAUUAAAGAAAUAACACCGCCAUAUUUAUGCAGACAGUAUCAUCACUUCUUCAGCUAACACUUCGGACAAUCCAGGGUGCGACUCUAACCGUAGCUACAGGUCAUCGUAACCAGCGAAUUUCAUACACAACUCAUGUGUUGGACACCACAAUGUAAAAAAAAUGUUGAUGUAUCCUCCCGUAGUAUGUAUCUUGCUCGAACCUACCUGUUGCUGUAAACAUUUAUGUAAUCCUUAAUAGAUAAUGAUUCCAGUCUAACAAAUUAGACCAUGAUACUAUAAACCAUGAAAUGUGCCCCCGCAAUCGCGCGCGUAUGCGCGCGCCCUGAUACUAGUGGCAAGAAAUGGAAGGCGAGGCGUGAUCGUGUCGUGAAGGGUGGGGGUGCAAAAGGAAAAUAGUGGGUGGGCCGAGAGCGCUGGGGAGUGAGAUCGGGGCAACCACACACGGGACCUGGUGGAUCGCGGCCGUCUAACGCAAUGUCACGAGGAGUUGGCCGCGGCGAGAGGCUAGCUGACUAGCUGGCUUGUGCUUGACUGGAUUGUAGUACUCAGGACAAGCUUUUUGUCUGAAGGUGCCGCUCCAGGUUCUCAAUUUUCUACCUCCACUGCAUCCAAACAUAUAUGUAUGUGUGACAGUGGUGUCCAUGGAGUGAAUUGUCUUUUUUCCGGAACCUUUCUUCUAGAAACUUGUAAUUAAUUGGCCUUGUGAUUGUUCUGCAUUUUGCCUUUGUUCUGCUCCAUUCCUCACAUUUUUUUCCUUUUCAAGUCAAAGCACUGAUAGUAUCUACAAUUCAAUCGCCAAUCCUCAGCUGCCCAAUGUACUCCAGUAACAAAGAUGACAUGAGGUGACGUUGUGAGCACAUGCGCGGGUGGCAGCUGGAUACUCCUCUUCGGGAUGUAGGCCGGAACUGUAGGGCUGAGGGAGCUCAAGAGGGGCGCCAUUGCUGCUAUUGCGUGCUUUGCUGAUGGUGGCGAGGGCUGAGGGUUCCUUCAUUCCACCUCUAACAUGGACCUUCACUGUUCAAUGACGUACCUAGUAUACUUCAUCGGUAGCCGUUCCCGUUCCUAAUGUGGUUGCCCUGCUCCCUUGCCCCGUAGGUACCAGCUAGAGGCACUAGAGCACGCGACACUACCUCCGCUUGUUGCGACAUGGCCUACUGACGAACAUGGCCUUUGCCUUUUUCCUAAAUUCAGCCUGUCAUCGCUACUUUAUAGUGAUGAGGAGGAUGCUCUAGUUUGGCAAUUCACCUCAAAUGGCAUUUAUUCUUCCCAAUCACUUUAUAGAAUCAUCAACUUCAGAGGCAUUAAGCCUAUUUUAGUGCCCUCAAUUUGGAAUCUUAAACUUCCACCCAGAGUUCAUUAUUUUCUUUGGUUAGUCUGUAAAAACAAAAUUCUAACUAGAGAUAAUUUAGGAAAAAGGAAGAAAAUAGAGGAUGACACAUGUUUGUUCUGUAAUGAAAAGGAAACAAUUAAUCACCUGUUUUUCGAGUGUGUUGUUGCUAAACAAAUGUGGACUAUUCUUUCUAGCAUUUUUUAUGUCUAGCUAGGUGAUUACAUUGACUCUGUAGGGAAAUUCUGGCUUAGUAACAAAAGAAAUGGAAUUUUAAACAUGUGCACUUCAGCUAUUUGGAGUUUACCCUUAAUUUGAUUGAUGGGAUACUGUCUUAUUUGGGGGCACAUUUCGGUCAUCAAGCAGCAGGUCGACCAAAAUUGGCCAUCUAAUAAAACACCGAGUUUCAGUAGUAGGUUCCCUUCUUUGCACAUGUUUUUUUCCCCUUUAUCUAACUCAUGUUGUGUUUACGCAGAGAGCAAGACUGACUUCAAGACCCAACUUUCCGUGUAUGCUCAGAAGCUAGGCAAGGUGCCGCCUUUGUACAAACACAUUCAGGAAGGUCCAGCUCAUGCACCUCGUUUCAACACUGAAGUAACCAUAGAUGGGCAGACAUUUGGGAGGCCAGAGUUAUUAUAUUAUAAAUUGAAGGAUGCUCAAGCUGCUGCUGCAGAAGUUGCUUUGGAUUUGUUACCCCCAAUCCCACCACAGGAAUCUACGGUUAGUCCAUUUCUUUCUUUUCUUUUCUUUUCUAUUCUUUUCAAUCUACAGUAAUAUUUUCAUUUCAAUCUGAUGAAAUUUCUCUCUUUUUUCAGAUUCCAUCAUUGUCUUACAAGAAUUUCAUACAAGAAAUCGCUCAAAAAGAAGGCAUAUCAUUGCCUGUUUACAAUACAGUUCCAACUAACAAAGAAAAUUCCACUGCAUAUAAAUCAAGCGUUCAAAUCAAAGGUGAAAUUUUUGAGGGAG